GAUCAAAUUGCCAAGGUCGUCCAAGGAGCAAGUGUGCCGCAUGCAUUGGGACUACAUCACACCAUACUUCAUCCUCAUAAUUGCCGAGUUUAAAAGUGACCAAGGACUGUUUCGUAACUUUAACUUCGGAACAUUCAUUAAGCCACUGAAGGUGAUAUGGCUUAGGGUGUUUGGUGCAAGGUAACUUUAAAGAAUCAACCAAAUAGCUACUCACCACAUUUGAGCAACUACCACUAUCAAUAAUGAGUGAACAUAAGUUACCGUUAAUAAAACACCGAGAAUGGAAAAUAUUGGCCCUUUGGCUAUCAUCAUCUUUCAUCUGAAUGUUAAGGGUUCGACGAACUACAAGGCAUUGAAAGUUAGCAAAGUCCCCUUCCUUUGGUGGUUCGACCAACUCGUCGCCAUUAUCACUGUCAUCCACAAGUUCUGGCAUAUCUGGAUCUGUAUUAUCAGAGUCGGACGUGUACUCACCGUUAUCUUUUAGAAGAAGUAAUCUCGUGUUAGGGCAUUCUCUACUAUAAUGACCACGCCCUUUGCACUUAAAGCAUUCAAUCUCACGAGUCCUCUUCGCACUCGAAUCACCUAAAUUGGGCUGCUUAGAAGGUGUUUGCGUUUUAGCAGGAGCCCCUUUCUUCCAAUCUGAUUGUUUACUUCCAUUACUCAAAGAAGACUUGUUAGUAACAAAAGGUGGUUUUGAACUCUUAAAAUCAGAAUUGGAAUUGUUACCUCGAUAAUAUUGUGAAGUAGAGAAGGACCCAAACCUUUGUUCCUUUAAUUGUUGCUCGAUCUCAAUGGCUUUGUGAACUGCUUCUUCCAAAUCAAUGUAAGUUUGUAGCCUUAAUGUAUUAGCUAUCGGCCUGUUCAAACCAUCAAUGAAUCGAACCAUAGUUGUUUCUUCAUCUUCCUCCACAUUAGCUCUCUGAAUGAGCAUCUCCAUCUCUUUAAAAUAUUCAUCCACCGUCCUACUACCUUGGAUAAGUCUUCUCAACUUUGUUUUAAUUUCUCUAUAGUAGUGAGGUGGAAUAAACCUUUUACGCAUAAUCUGUUUCAACUCAUCCCAUGUCAAAAUCUCACCUUCACAAUUCCGAUGGCGGUUUACCCCAAGUUGAGUCCACCAACUUAAUGCAUAAUCAGAAAAUUCCAGUGUUGCUAACGCUACCUUUUCAUCAUCCGGACAUUUAUAAUACCGAAACAUGAGUUCAAUCUUAGAUUCCCAUUCACAAUAAGCGUCAGGAUCAUUCUUACCACGAAAUUGGGGAAUUGUGAAUUUCGGUUUUGCCAAAGAAGGUUGUCCACGAUCAUGAAAAUCAUCAUCCAAUCUAGGGACACGUCGAGGGUCGCGCCUAUGGGGCUGAUAUCCUAUCUCCCUGAUGGAUCUCGAUAUUGAAGUUCUUGAUUCAUUCGUACCUCAUUCAAAGUAGUAUUCAAUGCUUGAAGGGUAGCAUUUAUUUGUGUGAUUGCAGCAGCGUGUCCUUCUAACUGUUGUUGGACUUCCAUAAGUGUAUCAUUAUGGUCAUCUUUAGACAUCUUCCCAAAAAAGCUGCAAAAAUAAACACUCAACACUCAAAAAUAAAAGUUAGCAAACCUCACCGUUAGUCACUCAAAAAGAAAAUUCAAAUUCUCAAUGAGGUAGAAUUCAAUCUUGUGAAUUCUUUAUCAGAGUUUAUAUCAACCAAUUAGAGAGUAUGAACCAAACUACCAAAGAAUCCUAAUUUGCACUAGGAUGCCAAAAAACUGACGAGACACCAAUUGAUUCGUGUUGCACCGAGGAAGAAGUUGUGCACACGUGUAAAUCCUACUAACACAAGAAACAAGAGGGUGUUAGAUAACGUAACAGAAGAAUAAAAAGCAAACAAAUGAAAACCUACAGCUAAGAAUCAAUAAAAAUUGCUAAAACCAGAAAACCCGAAAAACUGCGGAGUAACUUGACAACUUCGUUCGAGGUGUUCCCGAUCUCUAAAAAUCACGAAAUUAAAUCUGGAAUGUCCUUAAAUAUUGAAUUUUUGAUCUGGAAAUUUUGGGCACCAAAUUCAACCCGCUGAAUCUUUUUUUUAAUUUUUUAUUGAAUUUCGUAUUUUUUGAUUUUUUGACUUUUUUGACUGAUUUUUUUGCGGGAAUAAUUUUUUUAUAUUCAAUCACAGUGCCACAAAUAUGUAUGUAAAAUUUCAGAUCAAUCGGACAACGUUUACCCACCCAAAUGAAUUUUUUUUGAACAAUUUUUCUGGGUAAAACUGCUGUUUGUGCUUUAAAAAAUAGAGAUCAGUUUAGAAAUCAACCAAGAACACCCAAAACGCCCAAAAUCUGAUACCAAAUGAUACGGGGUGGCGCGCGGACCAAGAUCGAGUUGCCAAGUCACGAGAAACUCCUACGAAAGCUCUAAACGAACAGAUCUGAAAUUAAAACAAAGAACAAGAUUAAACUAAUCAGAUCUGGAAUUAAAUCCCCAAAUUCAAUUAAAUGAACAGCAAGACACAAAGAACGAAAGAAUAGAUGUUUUCGUAGUUCAAGAAGACAAAAUCGAACUCCAAGAUCAAUUCUCCACAAGCCGAAUCUGUUCAAGAACACUAAACAGCAACGAAUUAAAUCAAUCAGAUCUUUAAUAGAAAAUUAGGGAUUUGGGCGACAAAAGAAAAGAAAGAAAUUAAUGAAAUUGAACGAAUUUGGAAGUAAAGAAAGAGUGCUAAUCUGUCAAUAACUUGAAUCGGCCAAGAAUGCCCAAAUUCCAGCAGCCUAAUUUCACCCAACAAGAAGAAAUAAAAAAAAUGGCAAGAACCCUAAAUUUUGGGGAUUUUUGGAUCGAAUAGUUGCUGCCAAUAAAAGGGAUCGAUUAAACGAAGAGUUCUUGGAGUUUAAUCAAGGCUGAAACACAAACAAAAACAGCAAAGAAAAUUAGAAGAAGAAUCGGCACAAGAAAUAAUAAAGAAAAUAAAUUGAACAGCAAGGAAUUAAAGAAAAGUCCUAAGAACCCUUGAAUUCCCGAAAGAAUUCACAAAUUCCUUCAAACGGCUCUAAUCUCCCCUCCAAAGAAUAUCGAUGGCAAGAAGAAGGUUGAAGAUGGCUCCCACAAUCAAAAGAUUGUUAAAACAACUUCUAAAGAAAACUCAAGAGAGAAUUCUUGGAGAAAACCCCAAAGAAAAUUCUGCACUCAACAAAUCUGAAAUUUGAUAGAAAAAUAAUAAUAAGAUGAUUUUUACAAAGGGUGGCUGGCCAAUGCUUAUAUAGGCCUCCAACAAAUCCUAAUCUCACAAGUAACUAAUAAAAAUUAAACCUAAUUAAUAAAAUAACAAGGUAAAUUCGGCCAUGCACUCAUAUGGGUUGUUUUGGGCCGAAUUUUACAUGUAAUGCUCCUAAAGAUUAAAAAAAUUAAAUUAAACAAGUAAGAUGUUUACAAAUUGGGCCCUUUAACAUUUUGGCCUGAUUUUUCAACUAAGUAUGAAGAAAUUUCUUGAUUGGGCUAAAUUUUGGUUAUUGGGCCUCGCCUUCAAGAAUUUGGGCUCGUGAUCCAUCUCCUACCAAAAUUGGGUCGUUGACGCUCGUAAUGGAGAUCCAAUGCGUUUUGGCUGCAAGAUUUGGUUUCUUGGACCAAGAUUUCCAAGAUUUGAAAUNNNNNNNNNNNNNNNNNNNNNNNNNNNNNNNNNNNNNNNNNNNNNNNNNNNNNNNNNNNNNNNNNNNNNNNNNNNNNNNNNNNNNNNNNNNNNNNNNNNNNNNNNNNNNNNNNNNNNNNNNNNNNNNNNNNNNNNNNNNNNNNNNNNNNNNNNNNNNNNNNNNNNNNNNNNNNNNNNNNNNNNNNNNNNNNNNNNNNNNNNNNNNNNNNNNNNNNNNNNNNNNNNNNNNNNNNNNNNNNNNNNNNNNNNNNNNNNNNNNNNNNNNNNNNNNNNNNNNNNNNNNNNNNNNNNNNNNNNNNNNNNNNNNNNNNNNNNNNNNNNNNNNNNNNNNNNNNNNNNNNNNNNNNNNNNNNNNNNNNNNNNNNNNNNNNNNNNNNNNNNNNNNNNNNNNNNNNNNNNNNNNNNNNNNNNNNNNNNNNNNNNNNNNNNNNNNNNNNNNNNNNNNNNNNNNNNNNNNNNNNNNNNNNNNNNNNNNNNNNNNNNNNNNNNNNNNNNNNNNNNNNNNNNNNNNNNNNNNNNNNNNNNNNNNNNNNNNNNNNNNNNNNNNNNNNNNNNNNNNNNNNNNNNNNNNNNNNNNNNNNNNNNNNNNNNNNNNNNNNNNNNNNNNNNNNNNNNNNNNNNNNNNNNNNNNNNNNNNNNNNNNNNNNNNNNNNNNNNNNNNNNNNNNNNNNNNNNNNNNNNNNNNNNNNNNNNNNNNNNNNNNNNNNNNNNNNNGGAAUUCAAGGGUUCUUAUGACUUUUCUUUAAUUCCUUGCUGUUCAAUUUAUUUUCUUUAUUAUUGCUUGUGCCGAUUCUUCUUCUAAUUUUCCUUGCUGUUUUUGUUUGUGUUUCAGCCUUGAUUAAACUCCAAGAACUCUUCGUUUAAUCGAUCCCUUUUAUUGGCAGCAACUAUUCGAUCCAAAAAUCCCCAAAAUUUAGGGUUCUUGCCAUUUUUUUAUUUCUUCUUGUUGGGUGAAAUUAGGCUGCUGGAAUUUGGGCAUUCUUGGCCGAUUCAAGUUAUUGACAGAUUAGCACUCUUUCUUUACUUCCAAAUUCGUUCAAUUUCAUUAAUUUCUUUCUUUUCUUUUGUCGCCCAAAUCCCUAAUUUUCUAUUAAAGAUCUGAUUGAUUUAAUUCGUUGCUGUUUAGUGUUCUUGAACAAAUUCGGCUUGUGGAGAAUUGAUCUUGGAGUUCGAUUUUGUCUUCUUGAACUACGAAAACAUCUAUUCAUUCGUUCUUUGUGUCUUGCUGUUCAUUUAAUUGAAUUUGGGGAUUUAAUUCCAGAUCUGAUUAGUUUAAUCUUGUUCUUUGUUUUAAUUUCAGAUCUAUUCGUUUAGAGCUUUUGUAGGAGUUUCUCGUGACUUGGCAACUCGAUCUUGGUCCGCGCGCCACCCCGUAUCAAGGAGUCUGCAUAAGCUAUGUAAAUUGUCAGUUGUAAGGUUACAUUAUCACUGUUAUAAAAAAAAUACUUUGUGAGACCCUGAGGUCAAGUGUUAUUAGGACCUUGUUUCUAUAAAUUGAGCUGUAAAUAUUUUUAUAAAUAUUUAUGAAAUGUUAUUAAGGUUGUAUUAAAAUUUCGUUAAGAAAUUUUAAUGUUUCGAUUGUUAAUUAAACAAAAAGGACUAAAUCAUAAAGUUGAAAAAGUCAAUCGCUAUUAGUUUAAAGGUAUGAAUUGAUUAAAGAAUUAUAAUUAGAUGCCUUAAUGGAUAAAUAAACCAUCCCUAAAAUAGUGGGACGGUGGAUGCUUUAAUUUCUUUUAAUUUUAAGGUUUUAUAUGUUAUUUUAUUAAAUUAAAUAAAGAAAAAUGUUAAGAAAAUAAACAAAACACAAUGUUUUGUUCCCCAUUUGCUUGGUUCAUCACCAAACCUCCAUGAAAACAUGCUGAAGCUUCAACCAACCUUCAUUGGAUGCAUGUGAGUCCAUUUUUCACAUGUUUCUUUAAUUUUUUAUGUUUUUGAUAUCCCUGCAACUAGGUCCAGCUAGCCCGUACCUUCGAUUUUGAAACUGUUAAAGAUAUUGAAUGUUGUCAUUGAUGAAUCUACAUGGUUUUAGAUGUUACAUGAUGAAUUUGAAGUGUUGGUUGGUAUUUAAAAGUAUUUUAUUAAGGGAUAUUUGAUGAAUUUAACGAUUAGGGGUUAAAUUAUUGAAAUGGUAGAAAUACGGGGACUUGAUGUGAAAUUGUUGCAAAAAGGGUGUUUAUUGGAUGCCAUGAAUAUCGGUUGGCAUGGGAUUGCAUUAAAAAUGGUUAAUUAGCAUGUUUUAGGCUCAGAGACUAUAUUGAAUAAAAAUGAAAAGUUGAGGGCAAUUUUGUAAAAAUGUCAAAAAUGACUAAAUUGCAUAAAAUAAGUUGUUUUACUAUCUAAAUUAAUAAAUUGAAUGAAAUUAUUAAUUUAGAUCAAGAUCGAGUGGAGAAUCGAGGAGAAUGGAAAAUUACCAAAUAACCCCUAUACUUUGACAUUUCUACAAUUUAGCCAGGUAAGUUUGUAUGAACUAUAAUCACUUUAAUAUUGAUUAAAUUGAAUGUUUAAUAUGUGGUUCUAUUGUGCUUGGAUCAAUAUAUAUGUUAUUAUGCAAUUUAUCAUGUAUUGAAACGAUGGAAAUCCAAUAAUGUUACGACGACUAUCGAGCCUCGUUUGAACCUUAUAAAUUGUAGGAUACAAAUGAAAUGUCAUUAGGGUUUCUAUGUUUUGGGUGCUGGUCUCGAAUGUCCUACCGAUGGUUGAGGUCCGGUGUGUGUUGCAGAUACUCUACAUGAUACGAACUCGUUUCAGAAUGAUUCGAGUCGUUCAGAUUGCCCGAUCGUGAAUUGAGUAAGGAUAGAUUCGUUUCGGUUAAAAUGAAACAAAAUAGGUAAAAUGGUUUCAAACAAAGGUAGUAGGAUAAAUGGUUAAGUAAAAUAAUGGAUAAUUGGCUAAGACCGAGAAUGAACCAAUAAUAAUGGAUUGUUGACCCGAGUCUCAAAAUGGUUCUUAGGUGAUUUACAAUUUUAAGGAAACAGCAAAGAACCUUGACCCACUAUCAAUUAUGAUAGGAACCAAAGGUAUAUUGAACGCCAAACCAAAUGUGAUAAUUUCGGCAAACAAAGAAAAGAUAGAGGCCACAAGCGCUUGAUAAGUCAGAUCAGUUCCAAAUGAAACAAAGAGAAUUGGAUAAGUCACAAUACUCAAAUUCAACAUAUAUUUAGUAAAAAGUCUUCAAGUCCCUUUCUACGCCUAAUUACAUCUAUUUAUAGUGCUAGAAUAGGCUAGCCGAAUGGUCACAAACAUUCAACUUAAUGUGCCAAAAAAUAGAAAUAAAAACUAAAGUCUUUUCUUAUUAUUGAACCAAAUAACUCCUUUCUUGAUUUCACUUCAAUUCAGCUCAAUUGAAUGACUUUAAUUGCUUGAAAAUGACUCUUGAGUUGUCCUUGGCUAGCCGAAUAGACACCAACUUAUUAACCAGCUCCUUAAUGAUAUUUUGAAUGCUUGAUUAAUUCUCUUGAAAGAUCAAAAACUGCUAGAAGAAGAAAGGUUGCUGCUGAAUUUUAAAGGGCAUAAAAAUGCUCUUAAAAACUCCUUAAAUGAUGUUUAAACCUCCUUUAUAACAGCCCCUUUACUUUGCAACUGAAAAUGACUUGAACAACCACUUUAUUCAAUUUAUACCAGCCUUGAGUUGUAACGGUUAUGAGCUGAAAAGACACCUGCAAUAAACACAUUAAAAUGAGCUUAUUAAACACAUGUAAACACUUAUUAAACAUAACACACAUUAUUACUUAACUUAAGUAAAUGAACUAAAAACAUAUGCAACAAUUAUUCCAGCGACUAGUUAAUUAAAGAAGCAUAAUUAAAUGAACUUAACUCAUGCAUCAAUAAGUAAACCUAGGAACUUAAUUAAGAAGCAUCUUAUUAAAUAAAGUUCAAUAAUAACUCAAUUAUUAAAAACUUAAGAUGAGUUGAAUUAAUUGAUCAGCAACUCAUUUAUUAAUCUCAGAUCAGUUUAAUUAAAAGAAACAAAUUCAACUUGCAAUAAAUUGCCAUGCAUGCUUAGUAAGCUGAAUGAGCUUGUAAUUAAGCUUCAUUUUGCACUUAGGCCCCUCAAGUUUAGGCCAAUUCUGAGGUCGUCGAGUUGUAUCGAAACAUGAUGCAACCGGGAUUGCAUCACUACAGCUCAUGUGAGCUAUAUUGUGUAGCUUACAUUUCAACCCAUAGCUCGUGUGGUAGGCCCAUUCCACUACUAGUGUGAGCAUACCCAUUUCACAGCUCGUGUGCCAAUGAUGUAAAAUAAAGGAAAGGUUAUGAUUAUAUGUUUAGCACACUUAAUGUGAGCUAUCCCGCGUAUCCGAUGAUAUAUUAAACGGUUCAACUUGCAUGAAAAAGGAAAGGAAAAGUAUGUGUUCAAUAUGAACCAAGACAUGUAUUUAUGAAGUACAUUAAAAUGGUGAGAUACAUGAAAAGCAUGUUAUGUUAUGAUCAAUGAUAAAUCCAAUUGAAUCAUGCUCAAUUAUAAUGAUGGUUAUUCAAGUUAAAUUCAUAUGAGUUAUGUUUAAAUAAACUAACAUGUGUUAUUGAUGUGCUUAGGCUUGUGCCAAGCUUGUGGUUAUGAUUGAUGUUUAUGCUUAUGCUUGUACUAUACAUAUGAAACGGGUAAGAAAAAGGAAUGAAACGAUAAGUUCAUAAUUGGAAUGUAUUAUGAUGUUAUAAAAGGUUUGAUGUGAUAAAUGAUGUACUUAUAUGUGAGAGGUCUAUUUAUGCUAUGGAAGAAUUUACCUAUAUCAUGGAUAAAUACACUAAUUUGUGAAAUGAUAAUGGUUUUUAGGCUUAUGCUAAGCAUUUGGAAUGGAAGGGAAAGUAAGUAAAUAGAAUGAUUCAUAGUAUUAUGAAAAGGUUGAUAAUUAUGUAUUACGACUUAUAAAUCCUAAUAUGUUAUAUAUGAAAAGUAUAUGUGAUGUUGAUGAAUAUACUCCAAUGUGAGUUGAAUGGUGUUCAAUAGGUUUAUACCAAUUUUAAAGUAUUGGUGUUAAUUUGUGUAUUAUAGUAUUGAACUGAUAAGUUAUGUUUCAUGUUCUAUGAGCUUACUAAGCUUUCAUUGCUUACGUAGUUAUCUUUCUCUUACUUUACAGAUUAUCAGAAGCUCGAUCGGUUUGGAAGCUUGUCGGAGACCUAUAACACUAUCCAGAGAUUAAAUUGGUAGAUUGUGAUGUUUUGAUCAAUGUUAUAAUGGCAUGUAUAGGUUGACUUGUGAUUUAUAAUAGUUGAUGAAUUUGGAAUGUAUAUGUCAUUUUGGUUGAUGUAACCUUAGUGCUUUUGAUGCCUUAUUGAUGUGUGUCAUUUUGACAAUGUGUUAAUGCAUGUUUGAGUCGCCAAAAUGGUAGGUAAUGAAUUAACCUCAACAUGGUCAAGUUAUGGUAUGCUUUGGAAAGGUUUUGAAUAGAUGUGCAUGACUGAAAUAUGGUUUGUAUAUAUGUUGGUUGUUGUAACCAUUUGGAAAUGCUUAGAUAUGUGUUAUUUAGAUGGUUUUGAUGCAUGUGAGAAAUGGUCCAAAUGGUAAGGCUAUUUUGAUAUGGCUUGAUUCUAAUAUGGUAUGCUUAAAUAUGCACAUGUUUAGGUAUGUUUGGAAGGACCAUAUUUGGUAUGUUUAUAUGAGAGUAAGUGGAGUUAUGCUUUGAGGUAGAUAUGAACUAUUUGUAAUGGUAUAAAUGUGGUCAAUUUAUGAUGAGUUUUGUAAUGGAAAAUGAAUGAAGUGUUGAUGAAUGAAAUGUGUUAAGUACAUGUAUAUGUUUAGAUAAAUUGUAUGUUUGCAUUUGAGGUGCCUAUAUGGCUUAUUGGUUGAAUGGAAUUUGGUAUAUGACUUGGUCUUAUUAUGUAUGUCUUGUAACCUCCCAAACAUGCCUAGACUUUAUGGCUAGAUUGAGAAGGCAACAUUAGCCACCAGAAUGGCUAAGCUAACUUACUUUACUUUUGAAGACAUUAAAUAAACUCAUUUUAGAGAAAAACUGUAGUUGUGCUUUGAGAUAGCUUAAAAGCAUUCAUUCAUUAGGUCGUGUAUACUUAGGAUUCAUUUUAUUGUUGAUAGUGUUGUUUUAGAAAAAUCAUUUGCUUGUCGCUUUUCUUUUAAAAAACUCGAUGUUAAACUACUGCACCAGAAAAACCAUUUUUCAAGUCAUUUUUGGGAACUUAGUUAAGUUAUCAAUUUGUUUUUCAAAAACAGUUCCUUUGCUAUGAAGUGGAAACUAGGGAACAAUUUAAAUUUUACUUAAACCCGAUAUCAUGCAUUAUUCGGUUAUUAUGCUUGAGUAAUCCAUGCAUGCAAAAAUCCCAAAAGAAAAGUUACCAAGCUAUAGACCAGAAGUCAUUAAAUAUUUGAUAUGACCAUGCCCCGGGCAUACUUUCAGACCAGCUCUCUCAGCCUUGUUUGCAAUUGCAUGCGAGCUGAAUUAGCUCAUUUCCAUUUCAUUGAGCUCCAAUUAGCUCAUUUUCAGCUCCAUGAACUCAUUUCAGCUCAUUUGAGCUCAAUUUCAAAAUUUGAGACUAUGCGUUCUUAGUUGCUGGAAUUAAUUUAAUUUGUCUUUAAAUAAAUUAGUUUAGUUAGUUACAGCAUGCACAUGAAUUAAAUUAGGCUGAAAUUCUAAAUUAAUAUGUUUUAUGUUAUUACAUAAUUUUAAUGUGUCUUGCUCCUAAUUAUUUCGACUUAAAUUCAGACAUCAAUUUAAUUUGUCUUGUUUAGAUGAAUUUAAUACUUAGUUAAUUAAUUUGUCUAGUUAUAUUACAUUUUUAAUGUGUCAAGGUGCAGCCGAAUCUAUGAUGAUUAAUUUGUUGCUGUUUGUUGCUUGAUUUUAAUGUGUUCUCAUUUAAUUAAUUAGCUACAUGUAUUUAAUUUCAGGUACAUGCAAUGGACGGUACAUGCAUGUUUGGCAAAUUAAAUUGGCUGCUGAUUGAAGCUUCCUAGGUGUCCAUUUAGCCAAAGAAGCUAUUGUUUUCUACUCCCAAGUUGACCAUUCAGCCGACUUUUAAUUCUUUUCACAUUGCUGGAUUCAUUUUGGCUAUUCGGUUCCAUGUGUUCACAUUCCAAGACCCUUCAAAGCUGAGUUUUCACACCUUGAUGGCUGCUCAUUACCUCUUUUAAUUGAUGAUCACUUUUCAGCAAAGGUUGCCAAUUAAUUGAGCUUGUUCAAGACCAUUAACCGAACCUAGCUGCUGCCAUGCACUUCUCCAAGUUUCCAAAUCCAUUGAUCGUUCUAGAAGUUGCCCAUUCAAGCUCACAUUCAGCCGAAUCUUGUUAUCUUAAUUAAAUAGGUGCAUUUGCUUAGUUUUUAAGAAUUCAGGUGGCUAUUCGGCUAGCUUAGUUUUCAUCUAUAAAUAGUUUUUGAAAUUAUUUUGUAAAGAACUUUUGAACCUUUAACGAAUUGCUGUCAAAAUUUAGAGAGGAUUCUUCUCUUGAAUUUCGUCCAAAGACUCGUUGGCUUAUCUAUUAGUUAGUGGCGUCAACCUUGCUCUUUGCAAAAAUCGAACUUAUCACUUUCAACCCAAAGUGUGGCGUUCAUUUAAUACCGAGGUUCCUAUCUUUGAUAGAUAGUGGGUCGAGGUCCUUUUACAUCCGUUUCAUCCACCUUAAAGACAUAUAAGAUUCGGGUCAACAUUUUCCUUAGUGUUGGUUCAUUCUUGUUUUUAAGCCUUUCUUUCCAUUUCACCUUAAACCGAAAAUUCCAUACCUUUAAUAUUUGAUUUCUUUCUUUCUUAGCCGAAAAACCUACCAACCAUUUCCUUUUAACCUUAAAUGAACCAUUAACACCUUCAUUGAACAAAUAUAACUCUUUGAUUCAAGACGAACGAAACUUCAUCGUUAGGACGAUCGGGCAACAAAUACGACUCAGAAUUCAUCCACGAGACCGGGGUCGUAUCAAUAUUACAAACCAAAACCAAUAGAAACUGAUUAAUACAUAUUAAAAAAAGUCCAAGGUCCAAGGUGAUUCUUUGAAUGCUAAGUCCGGUCCUAAUUUCAAGGUUUACCUAAAAAGUUAAACACUAUUGGGUGGUGAGCUUAUGAAAAGCUCAAUGUGAGUCGAACCAUUAUUUAAACAAACAUAAAUAUCUAAUAUAGUGAAACAUAUUAACAUUAACAGAAGCAAACAUAACCAUCAUAGGAAUUUCAUAUCAUUACAUAACCAUUAUCAAAUUGAUGUCAAUAGUGUAUGAGCAUAGGUAAUCAUUCAUUCGAGUAAAAAUCAUUAAUUUUGAUACCAUUCUAUACAAAAAAAUACAAUACGUAGCAUAAAUCAAUAACAUUCAAAUAUGUCGUGAGCAUGAUGCAAUACAAAAAGGUUCCUACUCGCUACACACCACGAGUUCCCCAGAACUCAUCAUCCGAACUCCAAAACAUUAAGCCCAUUUGAUACGGGGGUUGCGCGCGGACCAAGAUCGAGUUGCCAAGUCACGAGAAACUCCUACGAAAGCUCUAAACGAACAGAUCUGAAAUUAAAACAAAGAACAAGAUUAAACUAAUAAGAUCUGGAAUUAAAUCCCCAAAUUCAAUUAAAUGAACAGCAAGACACAAAGAACGAAAGAAUAGAUGUUUUCGUAGUUCAAGAAGACAAAAUCGAACUCCAAGAUCAAUUCUCCACAAGCCGAAUCUGUUCAAGAACACUAAACAACAACGAAUUAAAUCAAUCAGAUCUUUAAUAGAAAAUUAGGGAUUUCGGCGACAAAAGAAAAGAAAGAAAUUAAUGAAAUUGAACGAAUUUGGAAGUAAAGAAAGAGUGCUAAUCUGUCAAUAACUUGAAUCGGCCAAGAAUGCCCAAAUUCCAGCAGCCUAAUUUCACCCAACAAGAAGAAAUAAAAAAAAUGGCAAGAACCCUAAAUUUUGGGGAUUUUUGGAUCGAAUAGUUGCUGCCAAUAAAAGGGAUCGAUUAAACGAAGAGUUCUUGGAGUUUAAUCAAGGCUGAAACACAAACAAAAACAGCAAAGAAAAUUAGAAGAAGAAUCGGCACAAGCAAUAAUAAAGAAAAUAAAUUGAACAGCAAGGAAUUAAAGAAAAGUCCUAAGAACCCUUGAAUUCCCGAAAGAAUUCACAAAUUCCUUCAAACGGCUCUAAUCUCCCCUCCAAAGAAUAUCGAUGGCAAGAAGAAGGUUGAAGAUGGCUCCCACAAUCAAAAGAUUGUUAAAACAACUUCUAAAGAAAACUCAAGAGAGAAUUCUUGGAGAAAACCCCAAAGAAAAUUCUGCACUCAACAAAUCUGAAAUUUGAUAGAAAAAUAAUAAUAAGAUGAUUUUUACAAAGGGUGGCUGGCCAAUGCUUAUAUAGGCUUCCAACAAAUCCUAAUCUCACAAGUAACUAAUAAAAAUUAAACCUAAUUAAUAAAAUAACAAGGUAAAUUCGGCCAUGCACUUAUAUGGGUUGUUUUGGGCCGAAUUUUACAUGUAAUGCUCCUAAAGAUUAAAAAAAAUUAAAUUAAACUAAACAAGUAAGAUGUUUACAAAUUGGGCCCUUUGACAUUUUGGGCUGAUUUUUCAACUAAGUAUGAAGAAAUUUCUUGAUUGGGCUAAAUUUUGGUUAUUGGGCCUCGCCUUCAAGAAUUUGGGCUCGUGAUCCAUCUCCUACCAAAAUUGUGUCGUUGACGCUCGUAAUGGAGAUCCAAUGCGUUUUGGCUGCAAGAUUUGGUUUCUUAGACCAAGAUUUCCAAGAUUUGAAAUCUUGAUUUUCUUGAUUCUUGAAAUCUCUUCGAACAGCAAAAUUGGGCCAAGAUUCGGUUUGUUGAUUUUCUUGAAAACAAGAAAGUGAAUCUUGAUUUUCUUGUUCUCUCGUGUAUGCAUCUAAGGCCUUGCUAACAAGCUCUUGAAUGGUCCCAUUUAGUUUGGACCGCAUUUGUCGGGCCUUUGAUCUUGUUAUUGGGCCUUGUGGCAAUUUGAGCCCAUCACGUUCUUGAACUUGGAUUGGGCCUUUAUGACUCGUAUCACCAUUGUAGUUAAAACCACCGAUAAUAAUAUGCAAAAAAUUCUACUAGUAAAAAUGCAGACAAGUUGCCAGUAAAAAUGCGAUAAAUCGCCAUUCUGCUUGGUACUCCAAUUGCAGUGCACUGACUACAAAUAAUGCAGACUUCAUAUGCCGCUGGUACUCCACAGAACUCCUCAGUCAACCAUAAAAUCCUAACCCAAUGCAUAUGCAAUAUGUCACACAAUCUCAUACAUAAUCACAUCUCAAUACUUUUCACAUUCAUUUGACAUGCUCAGCAUGUCCUUAAUAAUCACAUACUUUUAGUAAAUGGAAAUAGUGUUCCAAUAUUUCAAAUUACUAUUGUGUUGGUAUCAAUCAAUAUCGUUCAAUUUCGCAUACGUUAUGGAUUUUCAUUGUGCAUAAAUAACACCCUUUUCAAUACAAAAUAUAACAAAUAUCUCAUGCAUUUAAAUCAUACAAAAGCUUAAUAUCUCAACACAUUAUAUCAUUCGGCCAAACAUUCUCAUAUCUCAUAACUCAAAUAUGCAAUUUUGUCAACAUGUCAAUCUUUUAAGGCUCGAAACAUACCUGGUUCGACCACUCACAAAAUCAAUAAUUUGGCUAUUAAUAUAAUCCAAUCAGCUAGUUAAUUUAUCAAAUAUAACAUGAUAUUUAACAUUUUCAAACAAUUUUAUGAUUUUAGGACCGCACCUUAUUUUUUCCUUCCUCGCAGCACACUAACAAAUCUUUCAAUUUUCCUUAAUAAUUCCUCAAACGAACAUAAAUCGAAACUCAUUAUAAAUUCAAUAAAUUUACCAUGAAACCAGCCUCCAAACACCCAUUUAUGAGUUCAAACCAAUCAUUGAAAUUAUAAUUAUUUUAUGAAUCCAAACUAGUUACAUUCCUUCCACUGUAUCGAUGUGAAUCGUAUGUACAAUCGUUCUUGACCUUUACGGGUGAUUUGGGGUGUUUGGGUCAGCACCUAAUUAAAUAAUAUACUAGAAAAUUAGUAGCUAAUUAAUGAUUAAAUUUCUUCAUUUAAUCAAUUCAUAACCUUUACCCAACAAUUAUGUCGAAAUAACAAACUAGUUAUUCUUAAUUGAACUUACGCUUCACGAUCUGUAGUAUCCAAUUGGCUAAUUGAUCAAGAAACCUCUCCCUAACAAAGAUGUGAUUAAAUCCUGAUUAGGAGGGUUCAUGAACACAAUUUAAUGUUGGAAAAAUAUGGGUAAGACCCAAGAAAAAAAUAGCCCCCUUUAAAUUUUAAAACAGUUUGAGAUUUUAUUAAAAUAUGGAAAAAAUACCUUUGAAAUCAUUUAAAGUCCACAAAAUUCCAGAUCUAAAAAUUUUAGUUUUUAAUUAAAAAUAUUAAUCAAAAAUUGAAGAGAAAAGAGAUCUUACCCAAGCUAGUUGAAAGAAACGGCAAUGGCACUUUCUUGGCAAUGUUCAAGAUUGAUCUUGGGGUUCAAGAUUUCAAAUUUGGGGCUGAUUUAGAUGAGGAUAAAUGUCAGUAAUAGAGUUAAGGAGAAGGUGCACAAUCUAGAUGCAAAAAGAAGAAGAAAGAGAUUGUAAGAUGGGAGGUGUAAGUGACGACAACAAUGGGAGAAAGAAAUAAAAAUUGAAAAGAGGAAUGGAAGAGGGUGAACGGAUAGGGUAGGGAAAAUUUUAAUUAAAGGCUAAAAAUUACAAUAAAAAUUUGUAUUUAUACUUAGGGUUCAAGGGUAUGGAUAGCACACACAUUAAAAAAAAUAAGGGAUUUUGCAAAAUUUGAUUAUUUUGCAAGGGAAAGGAUUUGAACUUAGGACCUUAUUUAAUUUCCAUGCUUUCUGAUAUUUCUUUGAACCAGUAGGCUUCUUCCUCAUUCUUAAAAUAAUUUUGCAAUACUUAUUUUAAAAACAAGGCAUGUCAUAUACUAGGGUUUAAGGCAAAAUUUGCAAAAUAAUAAAAAUGAUGCAAGAGAAGGGAUUUGAACUUGGGUUUCAAGAAACGUUGCACUAACACUUAACUAACAAACCAAUACCUCAUUUAUUUCCUAAAAAUGCAUAAAUAAUAUCCUAAAUUAAGACACGACCACUCUCUCUCGAUUCAAAAACCCGAUUCUACUAACCCCUAAUUUUUGGGAUGUUAGAUGUUUUAGGUAUGUUUUAAAGCUUAAUUAUAUAUGCAAAUGGCAUGUAGCUGUGUGCUUGAAUUGGGUGAAAGAAAUGGCUUGAAUUUGGCCUAUUUCUUAUCCAUACGGCCUAAGACACGGGCGUGUGUCUUGGUCGUGUGUCCCCUGUAGGUUUUAAAUGUUGCAUUUUGAGUGUUACAUGGCCUGGCACAUGGGCAUGUAGCUUGGCCAUGUGGACCAAGUUAAUGAGUUAUACGGGCCUGGGCACAUGCUGGGACACGACCGUGUGUCCCUACUUCGAAUGCCCACACGACCUAAAACUCAGACAUGUGGCUCAGCCAUGUGAGACACAUGGCCUGGCCAUACAGCCGUGUGACCCCUGCAGUGUGAAAUUUUCUAUCUUUUUCCAUAAAGUUUUAAAUGUUUCUGAUUUAGUCCCAAAUCAUUUCUAAAGUGUUUAUAAGGCCUCAAGGGCUCAAAUAAGGGACAAUAUGCAUGUGUUUGAAUGUUUUAUGUUAUGAUUUACGAAAUGAUUGGAAAUGAAUGAUUUGAGUUAUGUUUUUACGAUAAUUCUUCGUAACUCUCUUCCAGCGACGGGUGCAGAUUAGGGGUGUUACAACACAUUUACUUCUUGGAAGGCAUGGCAAUUUGAUCGUGAUGUAAUACACCAUGGCAAACAAAAUUGAUAUUCCCUUAUCCUUAAAGGGAAUAAAUUUAGUCUAGCCCCAUUGAAUCCAAACAAUGUGUAUAAAGAUCAAAUGAAAAUGAUGAAAUUUUAUGGUGGGGUUAAGGGAAAGGAAAAACAAAAAAGACUGAGAGAAAAGAGGCCAUUAGUGUUAAAAGUCAAAAUUUAAACGGCCCAAUGGUGAGUGAAUCCUCUAGUGCUAAAAGUCAAAAUUCAAACAGCUCAAGAGUAGAAGAUUUGCGAAGAGCCCUAUUAAACAAACAGCCUUGUAUCCAAACUGCCUAGCUUACUGAAGCAAUAACUAGGAGACAAAGAAGAUGCAAAGGCACGUGGAGGAACUAUCAGACAAAGGGUACAUUAGAGAAAGUUUAAGUCCUUGUGCCGUCUCUGUCCUAUUGGUGCCUAAGAAAGAUGGUUCAUUUCGAAUGUUUGUUGAUUUUUGCUUAAUUAAUAAAAUAACGGUAAAGUAGGCAUCCAAUCCCUAAACUUGAUGACAUGCUUGAUCAGUUACAUGGUUCAAUGAUUUUCACUAAAAUUGACUUAAAAAGUGGUUAUCAUCAAAUUCGUAUGAGGGAAGGGGUUGAAUGGAAAACAACCUUUAAAACUAAGUUUGGAUUGUAUGACUGGCUUGGGUAAUGCACAUAGCACUUUCAUGAGAUUAAAGAAUCAUAUUUUAAGGCCUUAUUUAGGUAAAUUUGUGAUAGUAUACUUUGAUGAUAUUUUAAUUUACUCAACUUCUUUAGAUGCUUAUGUUUUGCAUGUUAAAUCUAUUUUAGACAUUCUAAGAACUGGAAAAUUAUUUGACGACCUAGAUAAAUGCACUUUUUGUUGUGAAAAACUAAUUUUUUAGGGUUUAUAAUAAAUUCUCAAGGUAUUAAUGUUGAUGAGGAUAAAGUAAAGGUAAUAAGGGAGUGACCCACUCCUAAAUCGAUUACUGAGGUGAGAUCUUUCCAUGGUUUAGCAAGUUCUUAUAGACAUUUUGUGAAGGAUUUCUCUAUUAUUGUUGCCACAUUAAUUGAGGUUAUAAAAAAAACAGUAGGUUUCAAGUGGGGUGAAGCUUAAGAAAGGGCUUUUCAAUCCUUAAAGGAUUGAACUUGAUAUUUCUAAUACUUUUGAACUUGAAUGUUAUGCUGCAAGUAUUGGAAUUAUUGCCGUGUUGAUGCAAGAUAAAAGGCCAAUAGCAUAUUGAUACGAUCUCGAUUUAGUGGUUAAAGCUGAGUCGAUUAGUUCCCGAUCGUUGAACGAAGAAGUAAGACUUGGUUUUAAAGUUUAGAUGAGAAUAGGCUAAGUUUGGGUUUACGAAAUUCAAAUUGGCAUGAAGAUAGAAAUGGUAAAUGUGUUUAGUUAUGCUAGAAAGAAAUGGUUUAAAUUUGGUCGAAUACAGUUUAGGUUUUGGCACGUAAUGGUUUAAGUUUAAGUACGAAAUGGUUUUUGGUUUAGGUACGAAAUGGUAUGGUUUUGGUCAAAAUGAAAUGAAUGGAUAGGAAUUAGUAUAAACGGCUCAAAAGGUCAAGAAUGAACCAACACUAAAGUUGAGUAUUGACCCAAAACUUAUAGGACCUUAAGGGUUUGAAAAAGGUAAAUUUGGGACCUUGACUCGAUACUUAGGUAAGUACGAACCAAAGGUAUAAAGAUUGAAUGCCACACUCGGUUUAGGGAGUGAUAAGUUCAGAAAAGAGACUCGGGUAGACGCCACUAGAAGCUACAUAAGUCUUACGGGUCUCGAAUGAAAUUUGAGAGAAAAAUGACUCACAAAUUUGGCAGCAAUUCAUUAACAAUAUGCCAAAAGUUCUUUUACAAAAUGAAGUAACAACUAUUUAUAGGCAAAGCUUGAGCUAGCCAAAUAGCCACAUACUUCUUAAGAAUUAAGAAAAUAAAUCAUUUAAUUGUAAUAGCUAGAUUUCGCUGAAUGAGGAGCUCCAAUAGUCAGCUUCUAGAUUAAACAAUGUACUUGGGAAAUUUAGAAGAUGCAUGGCAGCAGCUAGGUUCGGCUAAUGAGCUUAAAUAAGCUCAUUCAAUGUGCAACUUUUGCUAAAAAGUUACCAGCAAUUAAGGAGUUACUGAGCAGUCUUUUGAUGUGUGAAAACUGUGAACCAAACAGCCAAUACAUGUGAAAAUAUGUCUUGCAAUGUGAAAGGAAUAAGUUCAGCUGAAUGGACAACUUGGGAGUAGGAAUCAACAGCUCCUUUUAGCCGAAUAGACACCUAGGAUAAUCAACCAUCAGCACACCAAUUUGAAUGCAUUCCAUGUAUGGUGCCGUCCAAGAACAUGUACCUGAAAUUAAUGCAUGCAGCUAAUUAAUCAAGAGAACACAUUAAAACAAAUCAGCAAGACACAAUAAAUUAGCUUAAUAAAAUUCGGCUGCACCUUGACAAAUUAAAAUGUAGCUGACAAAUUAAAUACAAAUUAAUUGUAGCUAAACAAAGACAAAUUAAUUUCGUGUCUCAACCUAGGACGAAUUUAAUAAGUAUUAAUUAAGAACAUAUUUAAGAUUAAAUAAUUUAAUGUGUCUAAAUUUUAAUUUAAUUAAUUCACUAAAGAAGUUAAUAGAGCUAUAUUUAACUAAUUCUAACAAACUCAAAUAAUUAUUCCAGCAGCUAUAUUAGUGCAUAAAUUAAGUUGAGCUGGUUCGAGCUCAUUGAGCUGAUUCUGAGCUUAAUUCGACUUGAAAAAUGUUGCAAGGCAGGCUUAUGGAGCUGGUAGGAUCAUCCUUGAAAUGUUCAGUCAAAGUUUCACUCCACAUUUGCUCAACUAAGGCCGAAAUAGCCUCUUUGAAUUGUUUUGCUCAAGCUCACGUAAUUGGACCUUGGGAAAGGAUCACAGGAUCCUUGCUCAUACUUGAUGCGCUCCGAGCCACGGUCGCAUCACAUAUUUUAGUGAAAAACUAAAUCGGGCGCAAUUGAGCUAUUCAACUUACGAUAAAGAGUUAUUGGCAUUGGUGCAAGCUCUCUAAGUGUGGCAACAUUACUUGCUCCCAAAUAAGUUUGUUAUACAUACGAAUCAUGAGUCCCUUAAAUGGCUAAAGUUAUGUUCUAAGUGCAUUGCUUGUAAACAAGCAAAAUUGAAGGUUUAACCAUGGGUAGAUUUAGCCAUGGAUUUCAUUCUUGGUUUGUCGCGAACUAAUAAGGGUCAAGAUAGUAAAUUUAUUAUUGUUUACAAGUUUUCAAAAAUGGCACACUUUAUUUCUUGUCACAAAACAGAUGAUGCUACACAUGUGGUCAACUUAUUCUAUAAAGAGGUUGUAGGAAUCAUCUUCAAGCAUUUUCUUGCCAAGAUAUUUCUCUUGGAUGAUGAAUUAGAGCCAGUGAAAGAAGUUGUGGAUUCUUAAUGUUUCUAGGGCUUCUUAGGACUGCAUCUUCUCUUUCUUUCCUUAAUUUCUCAUUUCUUACUUAUUUAAGUUAGUUAUUGUUGUUUUGGCUUGCUGAUUUUAUUGAUUUUUGUUCUAGGUUAAGUUGCUUCAAGAAAGACGUUCUCCUAUCUUGUUCCAUCAAGAAACACAUCAAAAUUAGGAAUUUUAAUCUUUUCUUGUAGUUUCAAAUAUUCUUACACAAAAUAGUUUGCUUUUGACUUUAAAAUCACUUCUAACAAACUUGUUUAUGUUUUCUUUUCCAAAUCUGGUUGGGGCAUUUUCUUGAGGUCCAAGGAUGGUUUCUUUACAUCAAAGAAACCCUAAUUCAUUCUCUUUUGGACUCCUUUCUUGUCGGUUCACCUUUAUUUUAUUUUAAUUUCAUUUGACUCUCCCUUGUGACAACUAGUCUAUUUUCUUUUUUCUCAUUUUUAAUUUAUGUUCGUCUAGAUAUCUAGGAUAAAUCUGUGACUUUGACAAACUUUACGAUCCACUUUCACAUUCAUCCACAUCAUUCAUUAUCAAUAAUGAAGUACUCAAAGUUCAUUAUGGUGGCUGUUAAAAUGGACCAAGGAAGACUUUUCAAAUAUGAUCGGUUUUUGUGCCUUCAAAGCUCAUUAUUAUGUCAUUUUAAGAGAUCUUUGCACAAGUCUUUUGACAUUCAGUUUAAAGAGAGAUAAAUAAACACCAAACAACACAUUAGAGGAACAUUAAGUCAUCAAUAACUGAAGAGACAUGACUUAUCAAUUGCCCAACAUAAGUUAAAUCGAAUUUAAAUUCUUGUAUUAACAACUAGUUAAAUGCUAAAUUUGAAAGGUCCUUUAUAGGCAUUUGAAUAGUCAUAUUAGGUUUAUAAAUAACUUGUAAGAGGAAACUAUCUUGGUUAGACUACUUUGAAUAUAAACUUGAUUUGUGAGAUUUCCCUCUUGAGUUCUGAAGAACAUACAAACUAAACUUAUCAAGGCUUUUUGCUUUGUGGCAUUCUUCUUUCUUUUCUUAUACAUUUGGUUCUUGUUUCUUUCAUAAACAAUAGGCCAGGGUCUGUUCAAAUUUAAUUCUUGUUUCCAAUUGUUUUUCGUAUAGAAGAUGGGCCACGUUCUAUAGCAUUAGUUCUUUUCUCGUACAAGUUGUUGAAUCAAGGAUUCCUAUCUUAUUUUCUUUCGUAACAAGUACCUGUUUAGAAACGGUCAGGCAAUUGAGUGACUUGUAAUUUUUAAAUCGAUUAUGAGCUCACAUCAUUUGGUAUUAGAGCUAUUAUUCUUCACAAGUAUUGUUUUAUUUAUCUUUCCCAGUUUAAGAAAAAAAUUUAAAAAAAUAUUAAAAAUUCCAUAGCAAAAAAAAGAAGUGAAAAGUGAAAAAAAAACAAAUUGAGAUUAAAAAAAAGUCUGGAAACCCUUCUAAAAAAAUUCAUUUGAUUCAUGUUUUUAAGCUUUUCUCAUACAUUCUAGUAAGAUUUGACGAUAGUAAAAUAUUGUGUCAAAAUUUACAGUUUGCUCGAAACACCCAAUUGACAUUCCAUUCCUCAUUUUGAGUCAAUUGAGUCCAUUUUGUCAAAGUUGUACAAGCCUUUCAUAUUUUUUUGUAUUUGAGCCAUUUGUGUCAUUUUCAUCUGUUUGUUUCUGUUUCCUUCUGCAAAAAUAUUCAUUUAGGAGAGAGCCAUGUCUUGAUUCCUAUUCAUCAUGGAAUUAAAACUAGAGUAAAGUGGAUCGCAAGUUUGAAACCUCUUAAUGCGGCAAACAUAACGGUACACGCAUUAAUUACACAAAUGUUGAUACGCCUCCGGUUACGUUGAUUAGUACGACUCGUAUAGUUGCCAAAUCGUUAAAACAAAGAAGAAUCGUUGAGUUUGAAAUACAGUCAGAUAUUAGGCUAAAUGGAGUUUUAGGGUGACAAGGAUAGGCUUAAAGAAGAAGGCUAAGUCAAUUUAGAAGGUUCGGUUCAGAAAGAAAUUGGAAGCUUGGUGAUUAGGUUUAAAAACAAGAACAUAACAACAAGAUUGAACCAACGCUUUGGUUAAAGGUUGACCCAAAAUCUUAUAGGUUCUUAAGGUAUUUUCGUACGAAUUGGGAAACCUUGACCCACUAUCUAAAAUAGAUAGGAACCUUGGUAUAAUUUUGGGUGAACGCUAGUGAUAAGUUCAGUCGAAAAAAAACUGGUUGACGCUGCUAACUAGUUAGAUAAGUCAACAGAGUCUUUGGAUGGAAUUUAAGAGAAAAAUUCUCUCAACAAUUUGACAGCAAUUCAUUAAGGUUUCAAAAGUCCUUUACAAAGUAAUUUCAGCCUGAAUUUAUAAGCAUUACAUGGCAACCGAAUAGGCAAUCUUAGGGGCUAAGUAAGUAGCUUGAAAAUUCCAAAAUUUUGGAGGAAGGUUCCUUGAAGCUUCCCAUGCAUGGAGAACGUCAAUAGCUUUUCUAGAAGGUUUUAAUUAGGCUGGAAAAAUAAAUGGAAUGAUUGGGAGCUGAAUUGCAAUAAUGUGGAUCAGCUAAGUUGCUUGAAUCUCCUUUAAUGGGCUACUAGGUUCAGCCAAAUGUGCUUGGAAUAAUUAAGCUGCUUGGGUGACUUCAAUGGCCAUGAGGUGUGAACAAAUGAAAUGGAAGAGUCAUGCAAAUGUGAACACACAAAACCGAACAGCCCCUAAUGUGAAUGGAAUAGUCGGCUGGUGUGAACAGCCUUUAAAAUGCUUUGGGCAGCCAAAUGAGUCUUCUUGAAGAGGUGGAGAGUUGGCUGAAAAGUCACUUGGGAAACUUCAACAAUCAACACACUUUUCUUUAAGUUUUCAUGCACCUAGGACAUCCAAGAGUAGUGUACCUGCAGCAAAUACAUUCAACAAAUUAAAUGCAAUUUAGACACAUUAAUUCGGCAGCAAAUAACACUAAAAUCCUGCACAUUAAAUUCGGCAGCCCUUAGAACAUAAUUAAAACAUGUUUGAACUUUGGACAACUUAAUUAAUUAACUUAAAUUCGGCUGGACUUUGGACAACAUUAAAGCAUGUAAUAAAAUUAGACACAUUAAUAACAUGCAUUAAAAUAAAACAUAUUUAUCACAAAAUUUAAUAUGUCCAGAUUUUAAUGAAUUAAUUAAUUUUAAACUAAUUAACUAUUUUACUAACAUCAACUUAAUCAUUUAUUCCAGCAAAUUCAACAAAAGCUAUAAGUGAGCUCCUCGAGCUAAAUUUGAGCUAAUUGAGCUUGAAGGAGGUUGCAUGGUUUGCUCGGUUCCAUGUUCUCAAGUUGUCUAGCCACGACAUUACACCAAAUUCCAUCUAUGAGAGCCGAAACUUCUUCCUUGAAUCUUUUGGCUUGAGCACGAGUGAUACGAUCUUGGUUUAGUGGAUGAAGUCGAGUCAUUUAAUUGCCCGAUCGUUAAACGAAGAAGUAUGUCUUUGUAUAAUGUUUUAACGAAAAGAAAAUAAGUUUCGGGUUUAAAGAAGUCAAGUUGGUUCGAAACAAAGGAGGAUAAUGGAUUUAGUUUAGGCUGGAAAGAUGUAGAUUAAAUUCGGUCAAUUUCAGUUUAUGUUUAGUUAUGGAAUGGUUUUGGUUUCGGUACGAAUUGGGUUUUGGUGUAGGUACAAAAUGGUAUAGGUUUUUGGUACGAAAUGGUUUCUUUUGGUUUAGGUUUGAAAUGGUAUAAAUGGCUCAAAAAGGUCAAGAUUGAACCAACACUAAAGGGGAGUGUUGAACCGAAAAUUAUAGGACCUAAAAGAGUUUGAAAUGGUGAUUUGGAACUGUAGCGACCUAAAAAUUUUAGCACGGGCGCUAGUCGAAGUAAUUAUUGAAAAUUUGAAAACUGAGUUUCGAUUUUAUUUAAAAAGGGAGUCGCCACCGAUCUUUUUUCUAGGUGUGAUCGAGCACCUAAUAAAUUCUCUUUUUUUAAAAAGAAAAAUUAUUUUUCAAUUUUAAAAAAACAGACGAUUUUAGGUCCACGUCAAAAUCCAGAGAAAAUUAGGAUUCGGAAGUCAGUUACGCGCGAGGAAGGUAUUAGCACCCUCGCGACGCCCAAAAUUGGUAUCUCGUUAAACGCGUGUUGUCUUCAUUUUCAAAAAUACAAGUUCAAUUUGAUAUUAGUCGUGAUCCGAUUGAAACACGAGAAUUUUAAAGCACAACAACUUUUUUCUUUUUUUCGAAAACACAAAAUUUUUUUAUAUAAGAAUUUUAGAAACACUAUUUUUUUUAAAAACACGAAAAUUUUGAAACACGAGAUUUUGUUUUUUGAAUACACGAAUUUUCUUUCUGAAACGCGAAAAUUUUUAAAACACAAAAUUUGUUUUAGAAAACAUAAAAAUUUUGAUAAAAAACGAAACACGAGGAUUUUUUUUGAAACACGAAAAUUUAUGAAACACGGUCAAUUUUUGAAAACACAAAAAUUUUUGAAAGAUGAGAAUUUUUUUUAAAACACGAAAAUUUAUGAAACAUGGAAAUCUUUUUUGAAAACAAGAAAAUUUUCGAAAUACGAGAAUUUUAGAAAAACGGGAAAUUUUGAAAACACGAAAAUUUUGGAAACACAGGAAUUUUAAAAACACGAAGAUUUUUUGAAGCAUGAGAAUUUUUGAAAACACGAAUUUUUUUUAAAAAACAAGGAAAUUUUUGAAGCACGAGAAAUUUUUUGAAAACACGAAAUCUUUUGAAACAUGAUUUUUUUAAGAAGUACCGUAUUUAACACGCAUCAAUGAUAUUCAGCCCUACAUGGCGAUAAAAUCAUCGAAUUAGUGCCAAAUCGAUUCAACUUAAUAUUUAAUCGUGAUUCUAUUAAAACACGAGAAUUUAAAAAACACGAGAAUUUUAGAAUAUUUUCGAUUUUUUUAAAAAAAGGCGUAUCGUGUUUAACACAAACCAAUGAUAUUCACCCAACAUAGCGAUGAAAUCAACGAUUUAAUGUUAAAUCGAUUCGUUGCCUUAUUUAUUAAAAUUAUUCGAAUUUAAAAAAAUAAAAUAAAAUAAAAAAGAACAUAAAUACAAAAUAAAAAUACUUAAAAAUGUGCAACAAAUACUAAAAAAAUGAAACAACAUUUAUAUAUUUAGACAAAAUUAAGAAAUCAAGAAUUUACCAAACCCAAUGUUAUGGGCUCUUUGGGCUUUCUUUUUUGCUGUUGGGCUGCUGCUUAUUGGGCUGCCAAGGGACUGGGCCGAUGUUGCUACUGGUUUGGGCUGCGCUGGGGCUACUGGGUCUGGCGGGUUUGGGCUGCUGUUGGGCCUGUUAAAAAGGCCUGCUAUUAAUUUUUUUGUUGUUUCUUCUCUCUUUUUCUUGAUUUUGGGCUGCUCUCUGGGCUGCUAGGCUGCUACUGUGGCCUGCUAAGCUGCUGGUGCUGUCGGGUCGGGUCAAUGAUCAUACAGAUCGGGUCAGGCCGGGCCCGCCCGACUAUUAAAAAAAUUAUUUUUUUCUUUCCCCCUUUCUUCUUCCUUCUUCUUUCUUCUUCUUUUUUUCUUUCUUUUUUCUUCUCCUUUGUUCAGCGGGGGACAGCGCUUCCCCCGGCCUAGUGCGAUAGUCGACGGCGGCGCGCGGUGGAGAUCUCCUCUUCUCCUCCCAUUUUCCUUUUCUUCUUUUCUUUUUCUUCCUUUGUCUUUCUCUUUUAUUUUUGUUUGUUACUUGCUUCUUGUUUUUUUUUGCUUCUUGGUUGUUGUUUGCUUUACUAGGUGCCGGCGAUGGGAGUGCUGCGGUGGUGGGCACGGUGGCACUGAUGCAAUGGCCGGCGAUGUGCUGCUAUUUUUUUAUUUUUCUCUCAAAAAUUUUUGCUUUUUUUUCUUGCUUUGCUUGCUGUUUCUUUUUAAUUUUGUGGGGGCUUCCCAUUUUUUGAGGAGAAAGUCCCCUUUUAUGCUUGAUUUUUGCUUCUUUUUGCAGGUGGUAGGGAGGGCCUAGGUCGGCCGCCGCGCGUUGCAGGUGCAACUUGCGUCAGUGGUUGCCAGAGGGACCAAAAUGUAAUGGCAGCAAAACUUUUGGGGUCGAAACGUAAUUUUGAGAAAGUUCAAGGGUCCAAAUGUAAUUUUGAGAAAGUUUAGGGGUUAAAAUUUAAUUUAGAAAAGUUUAGGGGUUGAAAUGUAAUUUUGAGAAAGUUUAGGGGUCAAAAUGCAAUUUUAGAAAAGUUUAGGGGUCAAAAUGCAAAAAAAUAGAAAAAUAAAAAAAAUUCUUCUUUUUUUUAACAAGAAAUUAAUCCCGGACAAAAUUCAGUGAUUACAGCUGCCCCUCUUUGCUCAUCGCUAUGAAACAGGGAUAGAGCAAAGACUAAAAAGCACUGAAUUUUGUUCGACUAUCUAAAAUUUUCCUAUUUAUUUGAAAAGUAGAAAUCGAGAACAGCUCGGCGUGCGACCCGAGGCUCAACUCACCUAUCGUAAUAGUUGAUUUUUGAAAACUAGAAAUUGAAAAAUACCUCACGAUGUGACCUGAUCCUCAACUCAUCUCUCGCACUAUGAGUUUAUUUUUUGAAAGAAUAGAAAUUGAAAAAUACCUCAGGAUGUGACCCAAGGCUCAACUCACCUCUCACAAUAUGAGUUGAUUUUUGAAAAACAUGAAUUUAAAAGAAAUACCUCGGCAUAGUGUCUGAGGCUCAACUCACCUCUCGCAAUAUGAGUUGAUUUUUGAAAAAAAUAGAAAUUAAAAAUACCUCGGUAUGUGCCCCGAGGCUCAACUCACCUCUAACAAUAUGAGUUAAUUUUUGAAAAACAAAAAUUUAAAAGAAAUACCUCGGCAUGGUCCAAGGCUCAACUCACCUCUUGCAAUAUGAGUUGAUUUUUUGAAAAACAGAAUUUUAAAAGAAUACCUCGGCAUGCGACCCGAGGCUCAACUCACCCCACGCAGUAUGAGUUGAUUUUUGAAAAACAAGAAUUGAAAAAUACCUCGGCGUGACCCGAGGCUCAACUCACCUCUUGCAAUAUGAGUUAAUUUUUGAAAAAUAUAAAUUUAAAAGAAAUACCUCAGCAUGGUCCAAGGCUCAACUCACCUCUUGCAAUAUGAGUUGAUUUUUGAAAAAACAGAAAUUAAAAAAAAUACCUCGGCAUGACCCAAGGCUCAACUCACCUCUCGUAUUAUGAGUUGAUUUUUGAAAAACAGGAAUUUAAAAAAAUACCUCAGCGUGACCCGAGGCUCAACUCACCUCUCGUAUUAUGAGUUGAUUUUUGAAAAACAGAAAUUUAAAAGAAAUACCUCGGCGUGACCCGAGGCUCAACUCACCUCUCGCAAUAUGAGUUGAUUUUUGAAAAACAAAAAUUUAAAAGAAAUACCUCAGCAUGGUCCAAGGCUCAACUCACCUCUUGCAAUAUGAGUUGAUUUUUGAAAAACAGAAAUUUAAAAAAAUACCUCGGCGUGACCCAUGGCUCAACUCACCUCUCGUAUUAUGAGUUGAUUUUUGAAAAAACAGAAAUUUAAAAAAAUACCUCAGCGUGACUCGAGGCUCAACUCACCUUUCGUAUUAUGAGUUGAUUUUUGAAAAACAUAAAUUUAAAAGAAAUACCUCGGCGUGACCCGAGGCUCAACUCACCUCUCGCAAUAUGAAUUGAUUUUUGAAAAACAUAAAUUUAAAAGAAAUACCUCAGCAUGGUCCAAGGGUCAACUCACCUCUUGCAAUAUGAGUUCAUCCUUGAAAAAACAGAAAUUAAAAAUUACCUCGGCGUGACCCAAGGCUCAACUCACCUCUCGUAUUAUGAGUUGAUUUUUGAAAAAACAGAAAUUUAAAAAAAUGCCUCAGCAUGACCCGAGGCUCAACUCACCUAUCGUAUUAUGAGUUGAUUUUUGAAAAACAGAAAUUUAAAAGAAAUACCUCGACGUGACCCGAGGCUCAACUCACCUCUUGUAUUAUGAGUUGAUUUUUGAAAAAACAGAAAUUAAAAAGAAAUACCUCGGCAUGUGUCCGAGGCUCAACUCACCUCUCACAAUAUGAGUUGAUUUUUUUUUGAAAACAAAAAUUUGAAAGAAAUACCUUGGCAUGGUCCGAGGCUCAACUCACCCCUCGCAAUAUGAGUUGAUUUUUGAAAAACAAAAAUUGAAAAAUAUAAUUCUUGAAAGAAACAGGGUUUCAAAAACAUCAGGUGAAACUAAAAGCCUUCUUCUUCAUUGAUUCUGUGCAGCUUUCUCCCAAAAUUCCUUACUCAACUGGUAUACAUGUAUAUGUCAUGUAUGAUGUUAUUAUGAUAUGCACAUUUUUGUUCUAAAUGCUUUUAUGUCUACAUGAUCAUGACAUGCAUUCUUGGUUGUUUGUCACAUGACCCCUUCUGACUUUUGUGAGGGCCUUCAUUCAUUGCCUCCAUUCUUGACCUUCUCUCAGGUUCUGUACUCAUCUUCAAGUUUUGCGAGUGAUCCACAUUUCUUCGUAUAUCACUCUCUUACCCCCUGCUGAACAUUGUUCCUGUUUUGGGGCCCUUGUACUUGUCAAAUUCUCAUCCAGGUAAUGUUCAACAUUUCUUUUGUUUAGAGUAUGUCAUCUUACUAUUUAUCAUUUAAAGGAAUCAAACAGGAGAUGUAUAAAAAACAAAGUAGGCAUGAAAGAAAUACCUCACAUUCAAUUUUUUUCAAAAGCAACAGAUUAAAGAAAAAUGACAGGGAGGUUCCAAUAAAGAAAACAUCAUAAAGAAAGGAAAGUGAAUUCAACUGCCACAAAUGCUCUAGAUAUCCAAUGCAUGAAAUUCUCGAUGUUUCUUCAUCCUGGAUCUUUUCGAGCAUGGCUUCUUGUGUAGAAGAUUCCAAGCUUCUGAAAAUGCCUCAAAUGUUGCAACCUCGACAUUCGACUCCCUGUUCAAGUUGUCUUUCUCCUUGAGUCUGAAUCCGCUUCAUUAGGACGCCCUUUCGGGUUUUCAUCCUAAUCUUUUUUGUUUAUCAAGACGCCCUUUUCGGGUUUUCAUCUUGAUUUUUCUUUUUUACUUUUCUAUUUUCUAUUUUCUAUUUUCUAUUUUCUAUUUUUUUGUUUUUUUGUUUUUUUGUUAGGCAUAAUAUUUCUUCACAGCAUCUGAGUUCACUGGAUUAGGUAAUUCUUUCCCAUCCAUUUCAGUGAGAAUCAGAGCCCUUCCUGAGAAUGCCUUUUUUACAACGUAUGGCCCUUCCCAAUUUGGCGACCAUUUUCCUCAAAAGUCUUUUUGUAUCAGGAGGAUCUUUCUUAGUACGAGCUCUCCUUUGCGAAAUUCUCUUAGUCGCACCUUUUUAUCAUGAGUCGUGAUCAUUCUUUUCUGGUACAUCUGUCCAUGACAAAUUGCCUUCAAGCGUUUCCCUUCAAUAAGGUUUAGUUGAUCAUACCGAGCUCGAACCCACUCUGAUUCUUCUAACCUUGUCUCCAUCAAGAUACGCAGGGAUGGGAUCUCUACUUCGAUAGGUAGAACGGCCUCCAUCCCGUAGACCAGAGAAAAAUGAGUUGCCCCCGUAGACGUCCGUACAGAGGUGCGAUAUGCGUACAAAGAAAAUGGUAGCUUCUCAUGCUAGUCUUUAUAUGUCUCAGUCAUCUUCCCGAUAAUCGUCUUGAUGUUCUUAUUAGCUGCUUCUACUGCCCCGUUCAUCUUCGGGCGAUAAGGCGAAGAAUUAUGAUGCUUUAUCUGGAAUUGUUCGCACACUUCUUUCAUCAUUUUGUUGUUCAAAUUCAAAGCAUUAUCUGAAAUGAUUCUCUCAGGCAGACCGUAUCGACAUAUGAUCUCCUUUUUUAAGAACUUACAGACUGCAGCCUUUGUCACAUUAGGAAAUGGAGUGGCUUCUACCCAUUUUGUGAAGUAGUCUAUAACCACAAAGAUGAAUCGAUGUCCAUUGGAAGCUUUCGGGGAAAUUGGCCCUAUAACAUCCAUGCCCCACAUAGAAAAAGGCCACGGAGAAGUCAUGACAUGAAGGGGCGAUGGAGCUGCAUGAAUUUUAUCGCCAUAAAUUUGACAUUUGUGGCACUUUCGUGCUUAGCUAAUGCAAUCAUUUUCCAUCGUCAGCCAAAAAUAACCAAGUCUCAUAAUCUGUCUGGCCAUAGUGAAACCACUGGCAUGCGUUCCACAGAUUCCUUCAUGGACAUCUUUAAGUAUUCUUCUGGCUUCAACAGCGUCCACGCAUCUCAAGAGCAUUUGAUCCUUUCCUCUUUUGUAAAGGAUAUCCCCGUCAAGAACAAACCCAACCGCUAUUCUCCUGAUUGUUCUCUUGUCAUUCUCGUUUGCUUGCUCGGGAUACCUCUAAUUCUUAACAUACUCCAAGAUGUCAUGAAACCAUGGUCAUUCAUCUGACUCAUUCUCAAUGCUAAAACAGUAUGCGGGGACUUCAUAUAUGCUCAUUUGGAGGGGCAUUAUUUCAGUUUCUCUAUUUGCUUUGAACAUUGAAGCCAAGGUGGCCAAGGCAUCAGCCAAUUGGUUUUCUUCUCGUGGGAAGUAGUGAAAUGUCACUUCUUUUAACUCUUUGACCAAUUCCGCCACGAGAUCAUGAUACUUAACUAAUUUUGAAUCUCUCACUUCCCAAUCUCCACGAAUUUGAUAAAUGACUAAUGCUGAGUCUCCGCGUACCUCUAAGAUUUCAAUUUUCUUCUCGAUAGCUGCACGAAGGCCCAUGAUGCAAGCUUCAUACUCCGCUAUGUUAUUAGUACAAAAGAAAUUCAAUCUGGCAGUAAGCGGGUAAUGGUCCCCUUCAGGCGACAUUAAGACUGCUCCGAUCCCAUGCCCCAAUGUAUUUGAUGCACCAUCAAAGCUCAUCUUCCAUGACUUCUCUUUUGAUGACUCACCCUCUUUUUCUAAAAUGCACAUCAAAUCUUCAUCUGGGAAAUCAAACCUCAAAGGCUCGUAUUCCUCCGUUGUUCGACUUGCCAAGAAGUCAGCUAUUGGGCUUCCCUUUAUCGACUUUUGGCUCACAUAUACAAUGUCAUACUCAGUCAAUAGGGCUUGCUUGAUUCAGAUCACGAUAAUCCAUGCACAUUCGCACCUUGCCAUCUUUCUUCGGCACUGGGACUAUAUUAGCUACCCAUUCUGGAUACUUAGAGACUUGUAGGAAGCCGGCAUCAAAUUGUUUCUUGACUUCUUCUUUUAUCUUCAACAGCAUUUCGGGUCUCAUCCUUCUUAGCUUCUGUUGAACAAGUUUGCAUUCUAGUUUCAGUGGGAGCUUAUGGACCACAAUAUUUGUGUUCAACCCUGGCAUAUCCUGAUAAGACCAAGCAAACACAUCCUUGUACUCAUGGAGUAAGGCAAUCAAAUCCCGCCUGGUGUUUUCUGAAAUGGAAGUCCCAAUCUUCACUUCUUGUUUCUUUUCUUCAUUCCCCAAGUUCACUACCUCAACAGAUUCUUGAUGGGGUAGGAUCUGCUUCUCUUCUCGUUCUACCAUUCUCAGUAAGUCAGGAGACGAGACACAAUCUUCAACAUUUUCUUCAGCUUCGAAUUCUCCUGAACAAACAGCCUUCUCGAAAUCGAUUUCAAGACUUGUAACUGGAUUGUUCAUGCCAUGGAUAUCUGAGCACUUGAAAGGCGAAUAGAAAAGACUGCUAUAGGAGAGCAUCAAAGUAUUGGAAUCAACAAACACAAUGUUAUGGAAUGAUAUGAGAUACGUGUAGGGAAAGGUUGUGAGAAGAGGGAAUAAUUACAAAACUAAUGGAAAUGAAAAGACUAUGACAAAAUGCAUCUUCAUUAAUGUCCAUUGAAAUGAUAAAUAGCAAACAUAAGCUCUUACAAAAGGAAUCCCAUCACUUAGGGACAUACAAAAUAAUGGAGAAUUAACAUUGGGCAUUACUCUGGAGAGGACUUAGAAACUACAAGGAGGUCCAUAGCAGUCCGAUUGUUCAAAACAUAUCCUGGGGGACAAUGGCGUAUCAUUGAAAGAUCCUUAAUUGUAUCACUUUCAUUGAAUUCAACAUCCAUAGCUCUAGCUCUUAAACACAUUCUAUAAGAAUGACGUGAUUCCAGACUUGGAGUGUCGCAACUGUGGAUUAUAUUGUUUUAGUCUCAGUGAAUGAUUAGGGUGAUAUGUACAUGUAAUGAAUGAAUGAAUGAAUGACCAAUGGAUGCUAGUCAUGCGUAAAUAUGCAAAAAGUGGUGUUGAUUUCAAGAUAGCCCCAUAUUUUGGCGUUUCAAUUAUCAAAAGAGUCGAUUACAAAAUAUUUUGUCGAUGAAGAUGCCCCUAGUGUUUGAGUCUCAUUGUUUCCAUAUCCUAGUCAAGUCUUCGAGGUUAUUCUGCAAAGCAUUCAAAGUCAUAUGCUCAGGAAGAUCAGAGAUAUAUCUUUCUUUUAAACUAUCCCCUUUUGCUUUUUGGGUCCUCAAAGACCAGUCUCGGACUACGGCAUUUUUCUCGAUUACUUGUGUAAUUGACUCCCCAAUCAGAAACCUAUUUUUGGCAACCAAUCGCUAAUCAACACCUUCCUAAUAAGAUGUCUACGAUGCAUGAUGAAAAAUAAAAUGAAGAACAAAUAACCUUGGUUAGAGAUCACAACAGAUAUAAACAGAAGAAAAAAGAAAAAUAAAGACUAUGGAAAAUUUAACAAAUUAAGCUAUUCAAACAUGCAAUUUGAAGGAACAGACCCAUUUUUUUUUUGCCCCAACAUGCUUUACAAGAAACCUACCCCACAAUACCAUCAAACAAUCUAUCUGACCCAAUUUAUUAAACAGACUCAAUCCAUUAAGUGUAAAUGUAAAAGAAAAAAAAGGUAAGAAGCGUUUCUCCCGUGUACUUAUUUUGGUGACUAUUCAACGGACAGAGGUUCGGCAUGGCUCUAAUUGGGUGGCUCGUACGGUUCACUAUGUGUGGUUUUGGUUCUAGAAAGGUACUCGAAUUGUCCAUACUGUCACCUACUAAGGUUAGUAUGGAGCCUCGGUCAUCGCCCAUCACAGGGUCACGAGCUCAAUUAGAGGGAUUACAUUUACUUAUGCCUAUACGGAGGGACGAGUUAACUCACGAAGGCGUAGCGUUUACUUCCACUUAAACGGACGGAGCCCGGGUAGAGAGUUCAUGUUAUGCAAGGAUGCAAGUGCACGGUGCGUGGGGAGAAACUCACAAACCUUUUAAGUUUUAUUCUUUUCUUUAAAAAAACUAAAAAACGCAAAACUUAAAGCUGAAAAAAAAAGCAGAAAAAUAAAACGUGUUAGAAAAAUAUAAUUUGAAAAUCGGAUGCAGAUGCAUGACUUUUUUUAAAAAAAAUAAAAUUCAAGGAUCACGAUUAAAAAUUAAUUUGAACAAGAAAUUUUGAAAAUUUUGACAACACGCGUUUAACAUCAGACUCGACUCUCAAAAAACAAAAGAUCCCCAGCGGCGUCGCCAGCUAUAGCGACCUAAAAAUUUUAGCACGGGCGCUAGUCGAAAUAAUUAUUAAAAAUUUGAAAACGGAGUUUCGAUUUUAUUUAAAAAGGGAGUCGCCACCGAUCUUUUUUUUAGGUGUGAUCGGACACCUAAUAAAUUCUCUUUUUUUAAAAAGAAAAUUUAUUUUUCAAAUUUAAAAAAAAGAGUCGAUUUUAGGUCCACGUCAAAAUCCAGAGAAAAUUAGGAUUCGGAAGUCGAUUACGCGUGAGGAAGGUAUUAGCACCCUCGCGACGCCCAAAAUUGGUAUCUCGUUAAACCCGCGUUGUCUUUAUUUUCAAAUAUACGAGUUCAAUUUGAUAUUAGUCGUGAUCUGAUUGAAACACGAGAAUUUUAAAGCACAACAAUUUUUUUCUUUUUUUUGAAAACACGAGAUUUUUUUAUAUAAGAAUUUUAGAAACGCGAUUUUUUUAAAAAAACAUGAAAAUUUUGAAACACGAGAUUUUUUUUGAAAACACGAAUUUUCUUUUUGAAACGCGAAAAUUUUUAAAACACAAAUUUUUUUUUGAAAACAUAAAAAUUUUGAUAAAAAGCGAAACACGAGGAUUUUUUUUUGAAACACGAAAUUUUAUGAAACACGGUCAAUUUUUGAAAACACGAGAAUUUUUGAAAGACGAGAAUUUUUUUAAAACACGGAAAUUUAUGAAACACGGAAAUCUUUUUUGAAAACAAGAAAAUUUUUUAAAUACGAGAAUUUUUGAAAACACGGGAAAUUUUGAAAACACGAAAAUUUUUGAAACACGAGAAAUUUUUUGAAAACACAAAAAUUUUUGAAUCACGAUUUUUUUAAGAAGUACCGUAUUUAACACGCAUCAAUGAUAUUCAUCCCUACAUGGCGAUGAAAUCAUCGAAUUAGUGCCAAAUCGAUUCAACUUAAUAUUUAAUCGUGAUUCUAUUAAAACACGAGAAUUUAAAAAACACGAGAAUUUUAGAAUAUUUUUGAUUUUUUUUAAAAAGGGCGUAUCGUGUUUAACACAAACCGAUGAUAUUCACCCAACAUAGCGAUGAAAUCAACGAUUUAAUGUUAAAUCGAUUCGUUGCCUUAUUUAUUGAAAUUAUUCGAAUUUAAAAAAUAAAAUAAAAUAAAAUAAAAAAGAACAUAAAUACAAAAUAAAAAUACUUAAAAAUGUGCAACAAAUACUAAAAAAAAUGAAACAACAUUUAUAUAUUUAGACAAAAUUAAGAAAUCAAGAAUUUACCAAACCCAAUGUUAUGGGCUGUUUAGGCCUUUCUUUUUUGCUGUUGGGCUGCUGCUUAUUGGGCUGCCAAGGGAAUGGGCCGAUGUUGCUGCUGGUUUGGGCUGUGCUGGGGCUACUGGGUUUGGUGGGUUUGGGCUGCUGUUGGGCCUGUUAAAAAGGUCUGCUAUUAAUUUUUUACUGCUUCUUCUCUUUUUUUUCUUGAUUUUGGGCUGCUCUCUGGGCCGCUGGGCUGCUACUGUGGCCUGCUAAGCUGCUGGUGCUGUCGGGUCGGGUCACGGGUCAUACGGAUCGGGUCGGCCCGGGACCGCCCGACUAUUAAAAAAAUUUUAUUUUUUUCUUUCCCCCUUUCUUCUUCCUUCUUCUUUCUUUUUCUUUUUUUCUUUCUUUUUUCUUCUCCUUCGUUCAGCCCCCGGCAGCACUUCCCCCGGCCUGGUGUGAUGGUCGAGGGCAACGCGCGGUGGAGAUCUCCUCUUCUCCUCCCCUUUUCCUUUUCUUUUUUUCUUCCUUUGUCUUUCUCUUUUAUUUUUGUUUGUUACUUGCUUCUUCUUUUUUUUGCUUCUUGCUUGUUGUUUGCUUUGCUAGGUGCCGGCAAUGGGAGUGCUGCAGUGGUGGGCACGGUGGCGCUGGUGCGAUGGCCGGCGGUGUGCUGCUGUUUUUUUUCUCUCAAAAAUUUUUGCUUUUUUUUUCUUGCUUUGCUUGCUGUUUUUUUUAAUUUUGUGGGGGGUUCCCAUUUUUUGGGGAGAAAGUCCCCUUUUUUACACUUGAUUUUUGCUUCUUUUUGCAAGUGGUAGGGAGGGCCUAGGUCAGCCGCCACGCGUUGCAGGUGCAACUUGCGUCAGUGGCUGCAGAGGGACCAAAAUGUAAUGGCAACAAAACUUUUGGGGCCGAAACGUAAUUUUGAGAAAGUUUAAGGGUCCAAAUGUAAUUUCAAGAAAGUUUAUGGGUCAAGAUGUAAUUUAGAAAACUUUAGGGGUUGAAAUGUAAUUUUGAGAAAGUUUAGGGGUCGAAAUGUAAUUUUAGAAAAGUUUAGAGGUCAAAAUGAAAAAAAUAAAAAAAUUCUUCUUCUUCUUUUUUAAGACGAAAUUAAUCCCGGACAAAAUUCAGUGAUUACAGGAACCUUGACCCGGUACUUAGGUAAGUAUGAACCAAAGGUAUUAGGGGUGAACGCCACACUCGGUUUUAGGGAGUGAUAAGUUCAAGAAAUACUUGGAAAGACACCACUAGGAGCUAGAUAAGUCUUACGGGUCUCGAACGAAAUUUGAGAGAAAAUGACUCACAAAUUCAGCAGCAAUUCAUUAACAAAUAUCCAAAAAGUCCUUUUUACAAUGAAAAUGAACAACUAUUUAUAGUGUUCAACUAGGUAGCCGAAUGGUCUUCUUCAUAGCUAAGUAAACUGGAGCUAGAAUGAGCUGGAAAAUUCCAGGAUUAAACAUUGAAUUGCUGUAGCUAAAUUCAGCUGAUUGAAGUCCAAUGGGCAGCUUCUACACUAAGCAAAUGAACUUGGAAUGCUUGGAAAGGUGCAUGGCAGUAGCUAGGUUCGUCCAAUGAGCUUAAAUGAGCUCAUUAAAAUACAACUCUUGACUGAAAAAAUACCAGCAUUAAAGGAGAACGUGAAUAGCAAACUAAGUGUGAAAAGUCAGCCUUGAAGAGUCCUUUAGGUGUGAACACUAUGAACCGAACAGCCAAAAUAUAUCCAACAAUGCGAAAGGAAUAAAUUUGGCUAAAUGGGCAGCUUGGGAGUAGUAAACAGCAGCGCCUUUGGCCGAAUGGACACCUAGGAUAUUCAACCAUCAGCACACCAUUUUGAUUGCAUUCCAUGCAUGUACCACUAAAUACAUUGAAUCCAACGUGCAUGCACCUUGCUAUCCAUAUUCGGCCAACCUAUAAGAAUUGAACCAACUUUAAUUUAUUUCAUUCGCAUUCAGCUGAACAUAACCAAAAACAUAAUUUGGACAAUUUAAAUUCACAUAAUUAAAACUAGACACAAUUAAUUAAGUUAAGACACAAUUAAUUCGAUUAGGACAAGACACAUUAAAAACAUGAAAUAAGAAUAUAUUUAUAAGCUGUAAGAUUUAAGACAAAUUAAUAACAUGUAAUAAAAACACAAUUAACAUGCAUACUUAAAUUCGUCCAAAUUUUAGACCAAUUAAACAACGAUUAUUAAUUGAGCUAUGGUUAACUAAUUAAACUAACUCAAAUAAUUAUUCCAGCAACUAUAUUAAUGUCUAAAUGAAAUUGAGCUGAAUUAAAAUUUAUUGAGCUAAAAUUGAGCUAAGUUCAGCUCGCAACAAGUUGGAUGGAAGACUCGAAGGGCUGGUCCGAGUCUCCUCGAUGUGUCCCGCUAGGGUUUCGUCCCACACUUUGUCUACUAAAGCCGAUAAUGCCCCUUUGAAGUGCUUGGCUCGCGAUCAGGUGAUAGGACCUCGGGGAAGCUCCAAAGGAUCCUUGCUCGAGCUAGUUGUGACUUGAGGUGAUACGAGUCACAGAGGCCCAACCCAAAUUCUUGAGGGCAAGGCCCAAUAAGAAGAUUCCAAGCCCAAUCAAGAAAUCCACCCAUACUUAGUUGAAAAUCAGGCCAAAUUGUCAAAGUGGCCCAAGUUGUAAAGUUUUAUUUUUAUUUAUUUAUUUAUUUAUUUAUUUUACUUAGUUUAAAUUUUUAUAUUCAGUCCAAGAGUCCCAAAUAAAAGACCCUUGGCCGAAUUUCCAUAUUAAAAUAAUUAGGAGUUUUUUUUAGUUUUAGUUUUAGUGUUCUAAUUAAAUUAGGAAAACAUUUGAAAGGCCUAUUUAUAUGGCUUGGCCAGCCACCCUACAUUACAUUACAAUUACAUUGAAAAUUUCAGAUUUGAUUUGAGUGAAAAUUCUCUUUGAGUUCUCCAAGGAUUUUCUCUUGAGUUUUCUUUAGAAGUUGUUUUAACAAUCUUUUGAUUGUGGGAGCCAUCUUCAACCUUCUUCUUGCCAUCGAUAUUCUUUGGAGGGGAGAUUAGAGCCGUUUGAAGGAAUUUGUGAAUUCUUUCGGGAAUUCAAGGGUUCUUAGGACUUUUCUUUAAUUCCUUGCUGUUCAAUUUAUUUUCUUUAUUAUUGCUUGUGCCGAUUCUUCUUCUAAUUUUCUUUGCUGUUUUUGUUUGUGUUUCAGCCUUGAUUAAACUCCAAGAACUCUUCGUUUAAUCGAUCCCUUUUAUUGGCAGCAACUAUUCGAUCCAAAAAUCCCCAAAAUUUAGGGUUCUUGCCAUUUUUUUAUUUCUUCUUGUUGGGUGAAAUUAGGCUGCUGGAAUUUGGGCAUUCUUGGCCGAUUCAAGUUAUUGACAGAUUAGCACUCUUUCUUUACUUCCAAAUUCGUUCAAUUUCAUUAAUUUCUUUCUUUUCUUUUGUCGCCCAAAUCCCUAAUUUUCUAUUAAAGAUCUGAUUGAUUUAAUUCGUUGCUGUUUAGUGUUCUUGAACAGAUUCGGCUUGUGGAGAAUUGAUCUUGGAGUUCGAUUUUGUCUUCUUGAACUACGAAAACAUCUAUUCAUUCGUUCUUUGUGUCUUGCUGUUCAUUUAAUUAAAUUUGGGGAUUUAAUUCCAGAUCUGAUUAGUUUAAUCUUGUUCUUUGUUUUAAUUUCAGAUCUGUUCGUUUAGAGCUUUCGUAGGAGUUUCUCGUGACUUGGCAACUCGAUCUUGGUCCGCGCGCCACCCCGUAUCAUGAGGCGUGGCCGUAUCAGAUUCGAGGACGAAUUGCCUUGAAGAGGGUAGGGAUGAUACGAGCUCCCCCAAGAAGCUAGAUGUUGAAUCCAUGAAGUUGCCUUCGGGGCCAAUCACUCGAGCACGUGCCAAGAGGUUCCAAGAUGCCGUAGCAAGCUACAUUGCUCGAGUGUGGAGUGAUGGGUUGGCCGAACAUAAAACACCCAGCUCAACUAGCUUGAUUCGCACCUUUCUACAAGCUGAUUUUAGCUCGUAUCAGCUCAAUUCAGCUCAAUUUGAGCAUGUAAUUCACAUUUGGAGGUUCAUGAACAAUUUUAUAACUUUCCUAAAUUGUGAGUUUGUUUUCAACUCUCAUUUUUCUCCAAAGACUUGUCUGACUUAUCAAGCAUCUUUGUGGCGUCAAACCUGUCUUUGUUCUAUACGAACUUAUCACUUUUAAACCCAAAAGUGUGGCGUUCAAACCAUACUGAGGCUCCUAUCUAUCUACAUUCCAUUCUGUCCAUCACCGUCCCAACCUAAUAAGUUUCGGGUUAAUACACCUUUAUUGUGUUAGUUCAACUUUGAAUCCUUAGCCCAUUUCCAUCCAUCAAAUUUCGAAGCAUUCCAAAAACCCUAUUGAACCUAUUUUGAGCUUAUAUCUCUUCUUUUCGGUAACCUUAUUUUGAAAAGCUUUCAUCCUACUCCAUUCACGAUGUCUAGGUUCGGCCAUGUCUAGGUUUGGCCAAAGUGUGAAUGGUCCCUCCAAUAGAUGCCUCUUGGCCGAAUAAACACAUAGGAGAUCAAUAGCCAGCAAGCGAUGCAUGUAGGUGAGUAUUCGUGCACUCUUCCAUUCAUUGUAAUGAACCGUUCAUGCACCAUCCUUAAUGCAAUCAUACGUUGAAGGUAAUCAUUCAUGCACCCGCACGUACAUUUAACCAACCCAUUCAGGAAUCAUCAUUGAUUGUGUUUUCCACAUUCGACUGUACCUACAAAAGCCAUGAGCAAAUUAAAUUCAAGGUAUAUUCGGCUUUACUUAGACUAAAUAAUAUCAAGACAUAUUGAAUUAACAAAUUAAAAACACAUAAUAAAAAUAUAGCUAAUAAUAAAUUCGGCUAGCUCAAUAAUAGAUGAAAUUCUUAAUGAGCUUAAUUGAGCUAGAGAGUUCGAUCAUGAGCUUUAGUAAAAUAAUUAAAAUGAAACUAGUACUCAAUUUAUUUAAACGAUAAAAUUAACGAGCUGAUAGGAAGCUAAAAUUGAGCUCAAAUGGACUGAAUUGAGCUCAAGUGAGCUGGUUGAAGCUGAAAUGAGCUAAGGGAGCUGAAAUUGAGCGAAAAUGAGCUUGCACUAAUGAUACGAGUCACAAAAGCCCAAAUUCUUGAAGGCAAGGCCCAAUAAGCAAAUUCCCAGCCCAAUCAAGAAAUCCAUACAUACUUGUUGAAAAUCAGGCCAAAUUGUCAAAGUGGCCCAAGUUGUAAAGUUUUAUUUUUAUUAUUUAUUUAUUUAUUUACUUAGUUUAAAUUUUUAUGUAAAUAUUCAGUCCAAGAGUCCCAAAUAAAGACCUUUGACCGAAUUUCCAUAUUAAAAUAAUUAGGAGUUUUUUUUAUUUUAGUUUUCUAAUUAGAUUAGGACUAGUUAUAAGGCCUAUUUAAAGGCAUGGCUGGCCACCUUGUAAAGAACUUCUCAAUUAUAUCAAAAAUUUCAGAUUUGUUUAAGUGCAGAAUUCUCUUUGAGUUUUUUCUCCAAGAAUUCUCUCUUGGGUUUUCUUUAGAAGUUGUUUUAACAAUCUUUUGAUUGUGGGAGCCAUCUUCAGCCUUCUUCUUGCCAUUGAUAUUCUUUGGAGGGGAGAUUAGAGCCGUUUGAAGGGAGUUGUGAGAUCUUUCGGGAUUUCAAGGCUUCUUAGGACUUAUCUUUUAAUUUCUUGCUGUCAAUUCUUUCUUUAUUUCUGCUUGUGCUGAAUCUUUAUCUAAUUUAUUUUCUGUUUUUAUUGUGUUUUCAGUCUUUUUCUAUCUUAAGGAAUCAGCCCAAAAAUCCCCAAUUUCUAGGGUUCUUCCAUACUCUUUUUGGGUGAAAUCAGAUUGUCGAAAUUUGGGGAAAACUAUCUUGGUGUUCAAUUGGGCAGAAUCGUAAUCUCCUUUAGGGUUUCAAGAAUCCUUAUUAACACUUAUUUCUAUUCUCAAUUUGAUUCUUUGCUGAUUUGGGGAUUUUAUUUCAGAUCUGGAAAUUCAAAGUUCUAAUCUUUUAAUUUUCUGUUUCGUUUCAGAUCUGAUUGUUUAGGGUUUUCGUAGGAAUUUCUCGUGACUUGGCAACUCGAUCUUGGUCCGCGUGAAACCCCGUAUCAUUUGGUAUCAGAUUUUGGGCGUUUUGGGUGUUCUUGGUUGAUUUCUAAACUGAUCUCAAUUUUUUAAAGCAAAAACAGCAGUUUUACCCAGAAAAAUCUUUCAAAAAAAUUCAUUUGAGUGGGUAAACGUUGUCGAAUUGAUUUGAAAUUUUACGUACAUAUUUUUGGCACUGUGAUUGAAUAUAAAAAAAUUAUUCCCGCAAAAAAAUAGUCAAAAAAGUCAAAAAAAUUGAAAAAAGAUGAAAUCCAAUAAAAAUUUUAAAAAAAUAUUCAGCGGGUUGAGUUUAGUGCCCAAACUUUCCAGAUCAAAAAUUCAAUAUUUAAGGACAUUCCAGAUUUAUUUUCAUGAUUUUUUGAGAUCGGGAACACCUCAAACGAAGUUGUCAAGUUACUCCGCAAUUUUUCGGGUUUUCUAUUUUCAGCAAUUUUUAUUGAUUCUUAGCUGUGAGUUUUCAUUUGUUUGCCUUUAUUUUUCCUUUACGAUAUCUAACACCUUCUUGUUUCUUGUGUUAGUAGGAUUUAAACGUGUGCCCAAUUCUUCCUCGGUGCAACACGAAUCAAUUGGUGUCUCGUCAGUUUUUGGCAUCCUAGUGCACAUUAGGAUUCUUUGGUAGAUCGGUUCAUCCACUCUCUAAUUGGUUGAUAUAAACUCUACUAAAGGACUCACAAGACUGAAUUCUACCUCAUUGAUAAUUUGAAUUUUCUUUUUGAGUGAUUAACGGUGAGGUUUGCUAAAUUUUAUUUUUGAGUGUUGAGUGUUUAUUUUUGCAGGUUUUUGGAAAAUGUCUAAAGGUGAUAUUGACCAUAAUGAUGUCUAUGACAUGUUUCAAAAACUCCAACAACAAUUAGAUGAACACGCUGCCACACUUCGAACAUUGAGUACCGCUUUCAAUGAGGUGAGAUUGAAUCAAGAUCCUCAUUAUCGGGAUCCAAUCAACGAAGAUAGGGAUAACCAGCCCCAUAGGCGCGGCCCUCGACGUGUCCCUAGAAUGGAUGAUGAUUUUCAUGAUCGUGGGCAACCUUCUUUGGCAAAACCAAAGAGCGAGCAGCAACGAGAACAUCUCUUUCAUACUCGCUGCCAUGUACAAGGUAAGCUUUAUAGAGUUAUUAUUGAUGGUGAAAGUUGCUCGAACGUAGCCAGCACGACGAUGGUGGAAAAGCUUUGCUUAACCACUACCAAGCAUCCACAACCUUAUCAACUACAAGGGCUUAGCAACGAAGGCCAAUUUAAGGUCACUCAACAAGUGCGCAUUGCCUUUUCUAUCGGUAAGUAUCAAGACAAAGUUGUGUGCGACGUAGUGCCUAUGCAAGCUUGCCCUUUGUUGCUAGGAGAACCAUGGCAACUGGAUCGAAAGGUCACUCACGAUGGUCGUACAAAUAGGUAUUCUUUCAAGCAUCAAGGAAAGAAAAUCACCUUAGUGCCGCUCACUCCGGAACAAGUCCAUGAGGACCAAAUCAAAUUGAAAAAUUCUAUUGUUAAAACAAGUGAGGAAAAAGAAAAAGAGAAUGAAAAAGAGCAAAAAGAGAUUGAGAGUGAAAAGGAAUGUGAAACAGACAAGAAAAUUGAAAAAGAAGUUGAAGAAAGAAGAGAAAAUGAGUUAGAAAAAGAAACAAAAGAAAAAGACGAGGAAAUGGUAGUGAGGAAUGUUUCCACUAACCAAGAUAUGAAUUUUUCUUGUGUUGUUACUUUUCAGGUUCCCGAAAGACCGAAAGAUAACUUUCAACUUCAAUACCUCUCAAAUGAAAGAAGCUUUCAAAUGAUCAACAUAGGAAAAGAUAAAAUCACACUACAUGAGCCCGAAGAGCUUCGACUACACUAUGCCCCCGAUGAGCGAAGGUUUGUAUUAAAUGGAAAAGGUAAAUCGACCUUUAUUAUUCUGCUUAUAAAGUGGACUCAAUUGCCAUUAGUCCCAUUUGAUCGAGGAAAGUCGAGUCCAUUUGAUUUUUCAGAUUCGAGGAUGAAUCUUUUUGAGGAAGGGGGGAAUGAUACGAGUCACAAAAGCCCAAAUUCUUGAAGGCAAGGCCCAAUAAGCAAAUUCCCAGCCCAAUCAAGAAAUCCAUACAUACUUAGUUGAAAAUCUGGCCAAAUUGUCAAAGUGGCCCAAGUUGUAAAGUUUUAUUUUUAUUAUUUAUUUAUUUAUUUAGUUUAAAUUUUUAUGUAAAUAUUCAGUCCAAGAGUCCCAAAUAAAGACCUUUGACCGAAUUUCCAUAUUAAAAUAAUUAGGAGUUUUUUUAUUUUAGUUUUCUAAUUAGAUUAGGACUAGUUAUAAGGCCUAUUUAAAGGCAUGGCUGGCCACCUUGUCACCUUGUAAAGAACUUCUCAAUUAUAUCAAAAAUUUCAGAUUUGUUUAAGUGCAGAAUUCUCUUUGAGUUUUUUCUCCAAGAAUUCUCUUGGGUUUUCUUUAGAAGUUGUUUUAACAAUCUUUUGAUUGUGGGAGCCAUCUUCAGCCUUCUUCUUGCCAUUGAUAUUCUUUGGAGGGGAGAUUAGAGCCGUUUGAAGGGAGUUGUGAGAUCUUUCGGGAUUUCAAGGCUUCUUAGGACUUAUCUUUUAAUUUCUUGCUGUCAAUUCUUUCUUUAUUUCUGCUUGUGCUGAAUCUUUAUCUAAUUUAUUUUCUGUUUUUAUUGUGUUUUCAGCCUUUUUCUAUCUUAAGGAAUCAGCCCAAAAAUCCCCAAUUUCUAGGGUUCUUCCAUACUCUUUUUGGGUGAAAUCAGAUUGUCGAAAUUUGGGGAAACUAUCUUGGUGUUCAAUUGGGCAGAAUCGUAAUCUCCUUUAGGGUUUCAAGAAUCCUUAUUAACACUUAUUUCUAUUCUCAAUUUGAUUCUUUGCUGAUUUGGGGAUUUUAUUUCAGAUCUGGAAAUUCAAAGUUCUAAUCUUUUAAUUUUCUGUUUCGUUUCAGAUCUGAUUGUUUAGGGUUUUUGUAGGAAUUUCUCGUGACUUGGCAACUCGAUCUUGGUCCGCGUGCAACCCCGUAUCAACUAAGGUGCAUGGAAUCUUCAAUGGAUUAGCCCGAGCUUUCCCUCCGUUAACAAGCUGAUUCUCCUUCCAAAAUCUAAGAAAUAAAGCUGAGACAGCUUCUUGAAGUCGCUUGGAUCGAGCUCGGGUCAUUGGUCCCUUUGGGAGCUCGAUGGAAUCAUAGUUAAAACUUGGUGGAGUUUGGGGCGUGGUCACAUCAGAAAGAAAGAGUAGAUGUCUCUCACGCUCGUGUUUGCACUCUAUUUGGCUUUGACCUCCCCUCUAUUGUGCUCACACACUCGUGCCUUUUUUUCGCUCGUUUUCUUCUCUCAUGAUUUCGUAUAAGAAUUAGAAAGACUAGAUCUUCUAGUUUAGGGGUCAAUUUCAAGAGGUUUGCAAGGGUAACUAUAUAAGGAUUGUGGGUGGGCUGAAAGAACAAUAUUUGGUUAUCAAAUGUGGCGUGAAAGUGGAUGGUAAUGGAAAUAAGUAGUCGAUGAUCGGGAAUGACCAAAAGAUGAAUAAUCACUUUCAACACUUUUUUCCAAUUUUUUUACAACUUUACUUACUCUGGUUCAUCUCGAACGUCCGUUCUUCUCAUUUUAAAUAGCUCUGAUACCAGAUGAUACUCCCGUGAUUCCGUUGAUUAGUCUGAGUCGUAUAGUUGCCCCAUUGUUAAAACAGAGAAGAAUCGUUGAGUUUGAAAUGGAGUUGGAUAUUAGGCUUAGUGGAGUUUUAGGGUGACAAGGAUAGGCUUAAAGAAGAAGGCUAAGUCAAUUUAGAAGGUUUGGUUAAGAAAGAAAUUGGAAGCUUGGUGAUUAGGUUUAAAAACAAGAACUUAAGAACAAGAUUGAAGCAACGCUUUGGUUAAAGGUUGACCCGAAAUAUUAUAGGUUCUUAAAGUAUUUUUCUACGAAUUGGGAAACCUUGACCCACUAUCUAAAACAGAUAUGAACCUUGGUAUAAUUUUGGGUGAACGCUAGUGAUAAGUUCAAUCGAACAAAAACUGGUUGACGCUACUAACUAGUUAGAUAAGUCAACAAAGUCUUUGGACGAAAUUUAAGAGAAGAAUUCUCUCAACAAUUGGACAACAAUUCAUUAAGGUUUCAAAAAUCCUUUACAGUGUGAUUUUAGCCUGAAUUUAUAGGCAUUACAUGGCAACCGAAUAGGCAAUCUUAGGGGCUAAGUAAGUAGCUUGAAAAUUCCAAAAUUUUGGAGGAAGGUUCCUUGAAGCUUCCCAUGCAUGGAGAACGUCAAUAGCUUUUCUAGAAGGUUUUAAUUAGGCUGGAAAAAUAAAUGGAAUGAUUGGGAGCUGAAUUGCAAUAAUUAGGAUCAGCUAGGUUGCUUGAAUCUCCUUUAAUGAGCUGCUAGGUUCAGGUGAAUGUGCUUGGAAUAAUUAAGCUGCUUGGGUGACUUCAAUGGCCAUGAUGUGUGAACAAAUGAAAUGGAAGAGUCAUGCAAAUGUGAACACACAAAACCGAACAGCCCCUAAUGUUAAUGGAAUAGUCGACUAGUGUGAUCAGCCUUUAAAAUGCUUUGGGCAGCCACAUGAGUCUUCUUGAAGAGCUGGAGAAUUGGCUGAAAAGUCACUUGGGAAACUUCAACAAUUAGCACACUUUUCUUUAAGUUUUCAUGCACCUAGGACAUCCAAGAGUAGUGUACCUACAGCAAAUACAUUCAACAAAUUAAAUGCAAUUUAGACACAUUAAUUCAGCAGCAAAUAACACUAAAAUCCUGCACAUUAAAUUCUGAUACAAAUCACCUUGGUAUUGAGUCAAGUCGUAUGUGUUGCCCGAUCUUGAAUUUGAGUAAAGAUGGAUCGUUUUCAGUAAGACAAAGGUUUGUCAAUAAAAUGAUUAAAGAAAGAAAAAGAUGGCUUUGAAAUUAGAAAUUUAAAAGGUUUAACAAGCAAAUGAUAAAUUUACUAAGACCGAAAAAUAACCAACAAUACUUGAUUGUUGACCAAAUCUCAAAUGGCUCUUAGAUGAUUUCGGUUUUAAAGGACCUCGACCCACUAUCAACAAUGAUAGGAACCUUGGUAUAAGAUGAACCUCGACCAACAAUCAAGGAUGAUAGGAACCUUGGUAUGAUGAACGCCACACUAUGAAAGUGAUAUGUUCGGAAACAAGAAAUGGAUAGACGCCACAAGCUAAGCUUGAUAAGUCAAAUAAAUUCCGUAAGAACAAAAAGAAUUGGAUAACUCACAAUUCAAAGAUUGCAUGUUUAUUCAGCAAAAGUCUUUUUUCUAAGGCUGAUUACAUCUAUUUAUAGUGCUAGAACAAAGUAGUUGAAUGGUCAAAAACAUCCAACUUAAUGUGCCAUAAAAACUCAAGUCUUUUCUUAUGCUUGAACCAAAUAACUACUUCCUUGAAGUCACUUCAAUUCAGCUGAUUUGAAUGUCUUUAAUUGCUUGAAAAUGACUCUUGAGUUGUCCUUGGCCAGCUGAAUAGACACCAACUUAUUAACCAGCUCCUUAAUGACAUUUUAAAGGCUUGAUUAAUUCUCUUGAAAGAUCAAAAACUACUGGAAGAAGAAAGGUUGCUGCUGAAUUUUAAAGGGCAUAAAAAUGCUCUUAAAAAUCCUUUAAUGAUGUUUAAGCCUCCUUUAUAACAGCCCCUUUAAUUUGUAACUGAAAAUAACUUGAACAACCACAUAAUUCAAUUUAUAACAACGUUGAGUUCUUGAGUUGUGAGCUGAAAAGUCACCUGCAAUAAACACAUUAAAAUGAGUUAAUUAAACACAUGAAAACACUUAUUAAACAUAACACACAUUAUUACUUACUUAAAUAAAUGAACUAAAAACAUAUGCAAUAAUUAUUCCAACAACUAGUUUAAUUAAAGAAGCAUAGUUAAAUGAACUUAACUCAUGCAUCAAUAAGUAAUCCUAGGAACUAGAUUAAUUAAGAACAACACUUAUUAAAUAAAGUUCAACAAAAACACUUAUUAAUUAAACUAAGAUGAGUUGAAUAAAUGUCCAGCAACUCAUUUAUUAAAAUAAGAUGCUUAAAUGCAUGAUUUUGAAAUGCAAACUUAACUAACAUGAAAGUUACAUAAUUAAACUAACUUGACUUAAUUUAAUGAUGCAAACUUAACUAACAUGAAAGUUAGAUAAUGCAUGACUUUAUUAAAUGCAGACACAUAUUAAUGAUGUGCAAACUAUGACAUAAUUAAAAACACAAACUAAAAUAACUAAAAAUUAAUGAAUCAAAGUCCUUAUUUUCCAGCAGCCAAAUUGACAAACUGAAAUUAAAAACUUCAUUUUGCACUUGGGCCCCUUGAGUUUGGGCCAAUCUCGGUAGCAUCGAGUUGUGUCGUAACAUGAUGCGUCUGGGAUCGCAUCAAAUUCGGCAGCCCUUAGAACAUAAUUAAAGCAUGUUUGAAUUUUUGACAACUUAAUUAAUUAACUUAAAUUCGGCUGGACUUUGGACAACAUUAAAGCAUGCAAUAAAAUUAGACACAUUAAUAACAUGCAUUAAAAUAAAACACAUUUAUCACAAAAUUUAAUAUGUCCAGAUUUUAAUGAAUUAAUUAAUUUUAACCUAAUUAAAUAUUUAACUAACAGCUACUUAAUCAUUUAUUCUAGCAAAUUUAACAAAAGCUAAAGGUGAGCUCCUCGAGCUAAAUUUGAGUUAAUUGAGCUUGAAGGAGGUUGCAUGGUUUGCUCGGUUCGAUGUUCUCAAGCUGUCCAGCCACGACAUUACACCAAAUUCCAUCUAUGAGAGCCAAAACUCCUUCCUUGAAUCUUUUGGCUUGAGCAUGAGUUAUAGGACCCGUUGGAAACUCCAAGGCUUCGUCGACAACCUUAGUUGGUUCCCUAGCCAGGCCCGUAUCAAAUGUUGCCUUGAGUGCGUUGAAAUAUUCAUCCACGUCAACAGGGAAAGGUGAACAUGUCUUCUACGAUGAUCCUCCCUUUAAAUCCCAAAAGAAGUCCAACCAUGUGGAGUCUUACAUCUCAACUCCAUUUUGUGAAAAUCAAAUUCAAUUGGUGAGAGAUUUAAGAAUUAGUGAGAAUAAGAGAAAAGAAAAAGAAAAGUUAUUAAUGAAAGAAAAAUAGAAGAGAUUGAGACAAAAAAAAGAAAAAGAAAUAAAAAGAGAGUGAGUGAGAAAAGAAGUUGUGGAAAAAAAAGAAUGAAAAAGAAUUUGAGCAAGAAAAGAAAAUUGAAAAAGAAUGCGAGAAAGAAGAAUAAGAAAUUGAGAUUGAAGAAAUAAAAGCAAGUGUGAGUAAUAUGAAUGACGUUGUUGAAACAAAAAGUGAAAUUGAAAAGGAGUGUGACAAGGAAAUGAGUGUUUUUACUAACCAAUAUGCAAGUUGUCCUCAUUUUGUCUCUUCAUUUCAAGUUUCUAAUGGUUCAUUUGAUGAGUUCCAACUUCUUUACUCCACUUUCGAGAGACGGUUCUCUUUAAUCAAAAAAUGUAAAAUAAAAAAUGACAUUAAUCCACAAUUUCUUAAAGGUAAGGUAGGUAAGUAAUCUUUAGCAAUUGAAUCAAGACAAUCUAUUUUAAAUAUUGUUGAUAAAAAUGUCGAUGACUUAGUUUUCAAAAGAUCUCUUCACAAUGUACCAGUUAAUUGUCACUCUUUGGUUGUCAUUGAUGAUUUUGUUUCAGAGAGUGUCAAUGUAACCUCCCAAACCCAACCUAGACGUUAUGGUCGAAUCAGGAAGGCCACAUUAGCCACCUUAGUGUCGGACCUACCCAACGAUAGUUAAAAACCUUCAAGUACUCCUUUUUAUAAAAUUGUGGUUUCUAUUGCUAGCUUUGGAAAACAUCCAUUUACUUAGUCCAACCAAAGAAUUAGUGAGAAUAAGAGAAAAGAAAAAGAAAAGUUAUUGAUGAAAGAAAAAUAGAAGAGAUUGAGACAAAAAAAAAGAAAAAGAAAUAAAAAGAGAGUGAGUGAGAAAAGAAGUUGUGGAAAAAAAAGAAUGAAAAAGAAUUUGAGCAAGAAAAGAAAAUUGAAAAAGAAUGCGAGAAAGAAGAAUAAGAAAUUGAGAUUGAAGAAAUAAAAACAAGUGUGAGUAAUAUGAAUGACGUUGUUGAAACAAAAAGUGAAAUUGAAAAGGAGUGUGACAAGGAAAUGAGUGUUUUUACUAACCAACAUGCAAGUUGUCCUCAUUUUGUCUCUUCAUUUCAGGUUUCUAAUGGUUCAUUUGAUGAGUUCCAACUUCUUUACUCCACUUUCGAGAGACGGUUCUCUUUAAUCAAAAAAUGUUAGAUAAAAAUGACAUUAAUCCACAAUUUCUUAAAGGUAAGGUAGGUAAGUAAUCUUUAGCAAUUGAAUCAAGACAAUCUAUUUUGAAUAUUGUUGAUAAAAAUGUCGAUGACUUAGUUUUCAAAAGAUCUCUUCACAAUGUACUAGUUAAUUGUCACUCUUUGGUUGUCAUUGAUGAUUUUGUUUCAGAGAGUGUCAAUGUAACCUCCCAAACCCAACCUAGACGUUAUGGUCGAAUCAGGAAGGCCACAUUGGACACCUUAGUGUCGGACCUACCAUAACGAUAGUUAAAAACCUUCAAGUACUCCUUUUUAUAAAAUUGUGGUUUCUAUUGCUAGCUUUGGAAAACAUCCAUUUACUUUGUCCAACCAUGCUCAGGUCAAAUUAGCGAAUUAGGUGAGUGUUUGUAAAACCUUAGUCACGACAUUGCCUUUGAAAAAUCAUUUUGUUAUCUUCUUAGCAGUGGAAAUGUACCAUUACUAGUCAAAUUAUUAAUUUAGCCAUAUCAUGUCAUGCUUGCAUGAAAAACCCCAAAAUCUCGAACAGUCCCAAACCACAGAUUUAAGAAACUUUACAAUCCAAAAUCGAAUAAUAAUAAAAUAACCAAAAAAUAUAGUUAAAUUAAAAUAAUUUGAUGAAGGAAUCAAACUAAUUCAACUCGCAAAGGAUUACGAGCAACACUUAGGGAGCUGGUCCAAGAGGGUGCUCGGGGCGUGGCCGUAUAAUUCCCUCCCUCUUUAAAGUGAUUUGUCCUCAAAUCGGACCAUUUGCUCGUGAAGAAUCUUCCACCAUCACAACCCCCUUGGUUGAUGAAUUUGACAAACUUGCGCCAAACAACCCGAAAUUCACGAAUAGUUUGAAAAAAACACUGGUUAGUUACUUGCCCUCCCCCUUUAGAAGGGUACCAUGUCAGGGUGCCACCUACACAAUAAUAAAAUGGGUUAGUGGCACUAGGAAUCAGGAACUCAAAAACACUUCCCAAAUUCGCACUCCAAGCUAGAACACAUAAUCUAUUGCUGGAUUGAGAAGCAUAAACUGACCUUACAAUUCCAAAAUGAAUCAAAAACUUUACGUCCAGCGUCAUAGAAGGAACAACAAUCAAUUUAAAAUUGCAAUCAGAAUGCACAAGUUUCAUUUCCUUAGUUAAGGACAAGUCAUGCUCACAUUCAGGCUCACAAAAUUUGGAAUGCUCGAUUCUUUUCAAUAUCGAACUAGACUGAAGAACUCCAUGUCUGAAUAAAUGAGUUUGACCACUCGUUCUAGGUUGCAGCAUGAAUUUCUUAACCUCUGACAAUUUACACAAGUGACAAAAAGUGAAUUUUGACAUGCAUAUAUUCAAACAAUCAUAUAUCGCAAAUCUCAUUUGAACAGACUUGAACAAGCAUGUGGGGUUCACACAACAGUUCAAAGAAUGCACAUUAACACCACAAUCAAACAAAUUGGAAUGUUUAAAUGAACAUUCACUGUCACGCAUAACCAAGUUUUGCUUUUUCCGAUUGACCAUUACUUCACCCACACACUUAUCAAUGCAAUAUUCUUCAUUGGCAAAACUCUUCUUACCAUCAUUUAAAAUGAGAGCAUCAAUAUUACUCAAUGAAGGACAAUUAGUCAUAUCAAAAUACAGAGCCUUUUCAAAGACUAAAUCAUCAUCAAUAUUAUCACCAACAUUCGAAUAGGGUUGUUGAAACUUAAAGGCUAUAGAAUCCUUACCUUGCUUUCCUUUAAAUGAUGGUGGACUAGGAUCACCUACGUCCUUACCUUUGUUGAUCAACUUGAACCGCCUUUCAUUAGGAAAGUAUUGAAGUCGAACCUCUUCACAUGGAUCUUUAGGCACCUGAAUUGAGGAGACAAUUCAAAGGUAGUUUGCACGUCGGUUAGUAAAAACACUCCUCUCAUUUUCAGUUGUUUCCUUUUCGAGUUCACUCUCUUUUUCUCCACUCAUUUUGUUCUCACAAAAUUUUCUCUUUUCUCUCAAUUUUCCACAAUUUUUUUUAAUUUAACUUGAUCCUCGUAGACUUGUUUUGGCGUUAAGGGAGCCAAAGUCACAUGUUUACCAUGAUGCUCAAAGAUAUAACGAUUUGUGAGACCAUCAUUUUUAACCUUUCGAUCAAAUUGCCACGGCUAUCCCAAAAGCAAGUGAUACAAUCUGCCUCAGUGUUGAGUUGAGUCGUAUUUGAGUUGCCCGAUCUUCGAUGAGGAAGUUUCGUUCUGUUUCGAAAAUGGAUGAAUUUUGGUUAAGUAUGGAAUUAUAUGUUGGAAUAAGUUCAAGGUGGCUAGUAGAUAGAUGGAUUUGAGAUGGAAUAUCUUUGGAUGGGCUCGGUUUAACAAAGAAGUAGGAUAAAAAAAGUAAGUGGUGGAGAUUAAUAAUAUAACUUAAACAUCAAGAAAGAUUUGAUACUAUAACGAGUAUCGCCCCAAAUCUUAUAUGGUUUAAGGUGACAGUUGGGAAUAGAUUGAUGGACCUUGACCCGUUACUUAGCAAAGUAGGAACCGAAGGUAUAUUUAGAUGGAUGAAUGCCACACCAAGGUUGGUGAUAUGUUUAGAAACAAGUUCAGGAUGACGCCACUAGCUCGCUAGAUAAGUCACUCGAGACUCGUACGAAAUUGGAGAGGAAGUUAACCUCACAGAAACAAAGUUUCAUUAAACAAGUUGGCAAAAGUUUAGCAGAAGUCCCUUAACAAAGGUUGAUUUCAUCUAUUUAUAGUGCUAAAAUAUGCUAGCUGAAUGGUCACAAACAUUCAACUUAAUGUGCCAAUUAAAAACUGAAAUAAAACUCAAGUCUUGUCACAUUCUUGAGCCAAAUAACUCCAUUCUUGAAUUCAAUUCAAUUCAGCUGAAUGAAUGACUUUAAUUGCUUGAAAAAUGACCCUUGAGUUAACUCUUGGUCAGUCGAAUAGACACCAACUUAUUAACCAUCUCCUUAAUGGUAUCUGAAUGCUUGAAUUAACCUUUAAAAUAGAAAAAAUGGGCUGGUAGUUGAAAAGGUUGCCGCAAAAAUUAAAUAGAUGAUAUAAUGCUCCUUAAAACCUCCUUAAAUGAUGUAUAAACCUCCUUUGUAACAACUCCUUCUUUUGUAUUCAAAUAGCACUUGAAAGGUCACUUCAAUUAAGUUGUAACAGCUUUGAAUUGUAACGGUUAUGACUUGAAAAGACUCCUACAAUAAAAACAUUAAAAUGAGCUUAUUAAACACAUGUAAGCACUUAUUAAACAUAACACACAUUAAUACUUAAGUAAAUCAACUAAAACAUAUGUAUCAAUUAUUCCAGCAACUAGUUAAUUAAAGAAGCAUAAUUAAAUGAACUUAACUCAUGCAUCAAUAAAUAAUCCUAGUAACUAGAUUAAUUAAGAGCAACACUUAUUAAAUAAAUUUCAACAAAAACACUUAUUAAUUAAACUAAGAUGAGUUGAAUAAAUGUCCAGCAACUCAUUUAUUAAACUAAGAUGCUUAAAUGAAUGGUUUGAAAUGCAAAUUAAAUGAACAAAUGAGUUACUUAAUGCAAGACUUAAUUUAAUGUUGCAGACUUAAACUAACAUGGGAGUUACAUAAUGCAUGUCAUUAUUUAUGAUGCAUACUUAACUAGCAUGGAAGUUACAUAAUACUUUAUUAAAUGCAGAACACACAAAAUGCAAGUCUAAAAUUAAAAAUAUGCAAAAUUAUUAAUUUAAAUAAAACUAUAUUGAUUUAAAAAAAAGUCCGUUAAAACAUUGGCCUAAUAAUCAAUCAGGCCUAAGAGAUGUUUCAUUUGCACUUGGGCCCUUCAAGUUUAGGCCAAUCACGAUGUCAUCGAGAUGUAUCGAAACAUGAUGCGACCAGGUUCGCAUCAGCAUGUGUCUGGCAUGCAUUGGUACCACUUCGCAUAGGACUUCAUCGUUGUAUUUUUCGAUUGAAAAUGCGACUAGGACUUGCUUGGUCACCUUUAAUUCACCGCUUUCGUUGAGCCAUUGUAGUUUAUAUGGAUGCGGGUGCUUAGUCGUUGGAAGGCCUAAUUUUUUCACCAUUAAUGUGCUGGCGACAUUGGUACAACUCCCGCCAUCAAUAAUCAAGGUACACACUUUGCCUUGUACGUGGCACCAUGUGUGAAAUAGAUUUUCUCGUUGUUUCUCACUUUUAGCACUUUGGAUACCCAAACUCCUUUUGACAACGAGCAUUUCACUGUCAACUGCGUAUUCCAAGCCUUCUUCCUCGUGGGUGGGUGUCUCGGACUCUUCUUCAUUCUAUUCUUCUGAUUCAAUUUCGUCGUUCGCUCGCACCACCAUAGUGGUUCGGUUUGGACAUUGACAGGCGAAUGCCCCCUCCCGAGGCACUUAAAACAUUUAAUAUCCCUUGUUUGGUUGGAGAUUGAUUCAAUCUUGUUUUUACUAGCUUCGCCAACGGGCUUGUUAGAUUUUGCUAGCACAACUUGAUCCUUUGCACGACUUGGUACGUCUUCUUUGCUAUUACCUUGGCCCCAUUUUGAAGUUGCAUUGGAGUUGGAAUAGUCUCGCACAGUCCCUUUUCUUUUUAUUUGCUUCUCAACCUUGAUGGCCAUGUGCACUAUGUCUACCAAUUCAACGUCGUGCUGAAGCUCCAUGAUGUUGGCAAUGUCGUGGUUAAGACCGGCUAAAAAUCUGGCCAUGGUCGGCUCACAGUCUUCCUCCACGUCUGUAUGGAUCGUAGCAAUUUCCAUCUCUUUCAAGUAGUCCUCCACGCUUCGGUUUCCUUGUGUAAGAUUCUGAAGUUUCUGAUAAAGUUCACGAUGAUAAUAAGAAGGUAUAAAUCUCUUACGCAUUACGGACUUUAUUUCGGCCCAAGUAGAGAUUGGCAGCUCCUCGUUCCUUCUCUAACUUGUGGUUAACUGAUCCCACCAGAUCAUAACGUAGUCAGAAAACUCAAUCGCCACUAACUUCACCUUUUUACUCUUCGAGUAGUUGCUCUAUUUUCUUCUCCCAAUCUAGGUAUGCCUCCGGAUCAGAUUUACCUUGGAAUGGUUGUAUGGACAGCUUGAUGUUUUUCAAGUCAUUAUCAACACGGCCUCGUACUCUUGGGACCCGAUUCCUUUGACCACACCUUCUUUCUCUUUGAUUUGUCGCUUGGUCACUUUCCACCUCUCGCUUGCCCCCACACUUGUGUUGUCCUUGGGGUGUUCUUUCCUGUUGACCCCUCUCCUCAACUAACACCAAUCAUUCGUUGAUGGACUCAAGCUCGUUUCGGAGCAUUCGUUAAAACUCUCGCAAAAGGUCAUGUUGGCCUAAAUCGAGUACGCCUCCUUCUCCUCCUCUGUGUGUGAUGUUUCUUAUUUGUUGUCUUUUGGACCUGUCCGUCAUGUUGCGCUCAGGACUUCUAGACAUAAUACUUUAUCCUCACCACAAAGACCUCACGUUCACUCAAAAAGAAAGAAAGGAUGUCACUCGCACUCGUGUUUGCACUCCUUUUUGGCUUUUACCUCCUCUUUAUUGCGCUCACACACUCGUGCCUUUUUCUGGUCAUUUCUUCUCUUGUGAUUUUGUAUAAGACUCGAGGAGACUUUAUCUCUAUUUUAGAGAGGGUCAGCUUCAACGAUUUUACAAGGGAAGGUAGAUGUAAAAAGUGUUUGGUAGGUUAAAAAGAAAGAUAAUUUGUUUUAAGUGUGGCGUGAAAGGAUGGGAUGAUAAUUAAAAAGGGAAUUUGCUGAUCGGGAACACCAAAUAUGCACUUUGCAACACUAUUUCAUUUUUUUAAAACUUUGAGCUUUUUUUAAUUACAAUAAAAUAAAUGCAAAUGAGUACUUUGUGCACGAAAAUAUAUUUUUUUUCAAAUUUUUUUACGAACCUAUUCUAGGGUUGUUUCGAACGUAUGAACUCCUCAUUUUGGGUAGCUCUGAUACCAACUGAUGUGAUCUACCCUCGAUUGAAUGAGUUGAAUUACUUUCAUUGCCCGAUCAUCUACGAUGAAGUUUCGUUCGAUUAGCAAAGGUUGAAUGUAAGUUGGCUAUGUAUGGAAUGAUGGUUCAAAUUGGUUCAAUGGAGGUUAAGUUUAAAGGCCUAUAGGUUCAGCGAUUAAGGAAAAAUUAGUAUAGGUUGAUAGAAAUCUGAUUAAGGCGGAAGAUGGGAUAAUGGGCUUAAAAUUAAAAAAAAGAACCAACACUAUGUUUAGAGUGCUGACCCGUUUCUUAUAUGUUAUUAAGAUUGUACGGUGGAAAGGUGAUAAAGAACCUCGACCCACUAUCUAGGGAGAUAGGAAACUCGGUAUAAGGAUUUGAAAGCCAUACGAAUGAAGUGAUGACUUCAGUUAAACAAAGAACAAGGUUGACGCCACUAACUACGUAGAUAAGUCAACAGAGUCUUUGGACGAAAUUGAGAGAAGAAAUAUCUCACAAAAUACUUAAUUCAAUAUUAAAUUUGGUAAAAGUCCUUUACAAGGUAAAAUGAGCCUCUAUUUAUAGGUAUUACAAUGGAUAGCCGAAUAGACUCCUAAGGUGGCUGAAUAGUUAGCUGAAAAUUCCAAAAAUCCUUAGGAAAGUUCCUUGAAGCUUCUUGUGCAUGGAGAACGGUAAUGGACAACUUCUAAAUGUCUUAAUUCAGCUGGUAAAAUAAAUGAAGUGAUGGGGAGCUGAAUUGCAAUAAAUAGGUUCAGCCAAACUGCUUGAAUGUUUUUUAAUAAGUUGUUUGAUUUAGCCGAAUGUGUUUGAGAGUAAUUGAGUUGCUUGGGUUACUUUAAUGGUCAUGAGGUGUGAACAAAUGGUAUUGAGUAGUCAUGCUAGUGUGAACUAUAAAAAUCGAACAGUCCUUGGUGUGAAAAUAAUUUGCAUGUGUGAACAACCUUAAAAUUGCCUUGGGCAGCCAAUCAGCUUUCUUGGAGAGUUGGAUGGUCUUGACCGAAUAGUCACUUGGAAGACACCAAAGAGCAGCUCACCAUUCAUGCACCUAUGCCGUCCAAGGGAAAUGAACCUGGAGCAAAUAAAAUCAGCAAGUUAAAUGCAUUUCAGACACAUUAAUUCGGCAACAUAUGAACUCAUUAACCUACACAUUAAAUUCGGCCAAACAUAGUUAAACCUUGUAAUGAAUUAGGACAUAUUAAAACUCAAAAUUAAUUUAGAAGACCAUUAAAACACUUAAUUAAUUUAUGUCCUGAUUUUAACAAAUUAAUGAUUUAAACUACAUAACUAAUUUAACUAAAGACAAAUUAAAUGUUUAUUCCAGCAUAAUUAAAAAUAAAACUAAAGUGAGCUAUAAUGAGCUCAUUGAGCUACGAUUGAGCUGAAUUGAGCUCAACUCGCAAAGGAGUGCGAGCUACACAUAGGGAGCUGGUCCAAGAGGGUGCUUGGGGCGUGGUUGUAUCACUUAAUUGAGGAAAAAUUUUAGCAAUAUAGUAAAGGAUAUGGUGCAAAAUCUUGAUGCAAAAAGAAGAAGAAGAAGAUGGCAAAAGGGGAGGUGUAGGGAACGACAAUAAUAGAGGAAAAGGGGAAAAGAAAAAAAAAGAUGAAGAGUUAAGUUGCUGGACUUUAUUAAACUCAUCUUAGUUAAUAACUGAGUUGUUGGACUUUAUUUUUAUUAAAUUCAUUUUAGUUACUUAAUUGUUGGAAUAAAUGCUUAUCUUAGUUUAUUUAGUUGCUGGGAUAAGUUAAGUGUUUAAUGUGUUUAUUUACAGCUUAUUAAUUAAGUUUAUUAAGUUUAGCGUGUUUAAAUAUGAUUUAAUGAGUUUGUUAAUAAUUGCUUGUAGGUGAUACGAACUCACCUUGGUGAUGAUUCGAGCCGUUUGUUACCCAAUCGUUAAAAUGGAGAAGUAUCGUUCUUACUCAAAGUAACAUAAUAUUUGACUAAAUAAAAGGAUAACAAGGGAUGGCAAGACGGCUUAAAAGGUUUAGGAAUAGAUUGAGGAUGGUUCGGCUAUGUAAAUGAAACAAAAAAAGCAAUGAUGUGGAAUAGGAUGGAUAGGUUAGCUUAAGGACAAGAGUGAACCAAUACUAUAAAGAGUAUGGACCCGAAACUUAUACUUCACUUAAGGUGCUGGAAAAUAAAUAAAGGACCUUGACCCGCUAACUAUAAAGAGUUAACCAAAGGUAUCAAGGGGUGAACGCCACACUCGAUGAUGAGUGAUAAGUUCAAAGAAACAGUAAUGACACCACUAGCAAGGUAGAUAAGUCAAGCUGAGUCUUUAAUAAAAUAAUAGAGUUGAAUAAACUCACAAAUGAAUUAAAAUUCAUAAAAUGUCAAAGUGUAUUGUCUAACCAAACAAUGUUUUCUUACAAACUAUUUAUAGGCAUUAUUAUGGCUAUUCAAAUUCAACAUUCAUAUCAGCUAUUAAAAUUCAGUUAUAACUCUUAAUGGGCAGCCAAAGAGCCAUGUCCUUUCACUUAAUUCUUGCAUAGCUGAAAAGUCAAGCCUCUUCACUUGAUGAAGGAUUAAUGGUCUAUUAAAUGUGUUGCUUGAUAUCCCUUCAUUUUCCCCUUUAACCAAAUGCCUUAAAGCUUUUGUAUUCAUCUCUUUAAUUGGCACCAUAACUAGCUUUGAGUGCAUAAAAUCGAUCAAACUUGAAGAGUCACUCUUGGUCCAUUUGAAAAGUUACAAUAAUGAGCUUUGAGUUCAUCAAUAUCCCCCAAAAACGUUCCAAACAUUCACCGGCAAUUAAGUGACCAAAUGCACACUCUUUUAUGCCAAAACUGGACAGCCAAUUGAAUGUGACAGCAUUUGAUUCUUCUUGGCAAACGAAUAGCCCUAUUGUAGCUUUAAAAUAUGUGACUAGCCUUUUGAACUUUCCUACAGCAAAUGAUGCGAUCCGGCUUGGUGAUGUGAGUCAAGUCGUUGAUGUGCCCAAUCGUAAAAUAGAGAAGUUGAUACGAGGGUUGCGCGCGGACCAAGAUCGAGUUGCCAAGUCACGAGAAACUCCUACGAAAACCCUAAACAAUCAGAUCUGAAACAAAACAGGAAAUUAAAAGAUUAGAACUUUGAAUUUUGAAAUCUGAAAUAAAAUCCACAAAUCAGCAAAGAAUCAAAUUGAGAAUAGAAAUAUGUGUUAAUAAGGGUUCUUGAAACCCUAAAGGAGAUUGCGAUUCUGCCCAAUUGAACACCAAGAUAUUUUUCCCCAAAUUUCGACAAUCUAAUUUCACCCAAAAAGGGUAUGAAAGAACCCUGGAAAUUGGGGAUUUUUGGGCUGAUUCCUUAAGAUAGAAAAAGGCUAAAAACACAAUAAGAACAGAAAAUAAAAUUAGAUAAAGAUUCAGCACAAGCAGAAAUAAAGAAAGAAUUGACAGCAAGAAAUUAAAAGAUAAGUCCUAAGAAGCCUUGAACUCCCAAAAGAUCUCACAACUCCCUUCAAACGGCUCUAAUCUCCCCUCCAAAGAAUAUCAAUGGCAAGAAGAAGGCUGAAGAUGGCUCCCACAAUCAAAAGAUUGUUAAAACAACUUCUAAAGAAAACUCAAGAGAGAAUUCUUGGAGAAAAACUCAAAGAGAAUUCUGCACUUAAACAAAUCUGAUAUUUUUGAUAUAAUUGAGAAGUUAUUUACAAGGUGGCCAGCCAUGCCUUUAAAUAGGCCUUAUAACUAGUCCUAAUCUAAUUAGAAAACUAAAAUAAAAAAAUCCUAAUUAUUUUAAUAUGGAAAUUCGGUCAAAGGUCUUUAUUUGGGACUCUUGGACUGAAUAUUUACAUAAAAAUUUAAACUAAGUAAAUAAAUAAAAAUAAAAAUAAAACUUUACAACUUGGGCCACUUUGACAAUUUGGCCUGAUUUUCGACUAAGUAUGGGUAGAUUUCUUGAUUGGGCUUGGAAUCUUUUUAUUGGGCCUUGCCUUCAAGAAUUUGGGAUUGUGAUCCAUCUCCUACCGAAAUUGAAUCGUUGAUGCUCGUAACAGAGAUCCAAUGCGCUUUGGCUGCAAGAUUUGGUUUCUUGGACCAAGAUUCCCAAGAUUUGUAAUCUUGAUUUUCCCCUUCUUUCGUGUACGCAUCUAAGGCCUUGCUAACAAACUCCUGAAUGGUCCCAUUUAGUUUGGAACGCAUUUGUCGGGCCUUUGAUCUCCUAUCAUUCCCCCCUUCCUCAAAAAGAUUCGACCUCGAAUUUGAAAAAUCAAAUGGGGACAAGUCAGCCACAUUAAAAGUAGAACUUACAUUGUACUCACCAGGUAGAUCAAUUUUAUAGGCAUUAUCGUUGAUCCUCUUGAGUACUUGGAAAGGCCCAUCGCCCCUUAGGUCCAACUUGGUCUUUCUUUUUGCAGGAAAUCAUUCUUUCCUCAUAUGGACCCAAACCCAAUCUCCGGGUUCUAGGACAACCCAUUUGCGCCCCUUGUUUGCUUUGUUGGUGUUGGCAUCAUUUGUUUUGGCUAUUCGUUGCCUAGCCUUCUCAUGUAAGAAUUUCACCAACUCAGCUUUCUGUUCACCAUCUAAAUUAACAAUGUGUUCAAGUGGUAAUGGCGCAAGAUCAAGUACUGUUAGUGGGUUAAAACCAUAAACAAGUUCAAAUGGAGAAUAACCAGUUGUAGAAUGAAUAGAUCUAUUAUAUGCAAAUUCAACAAACGGUAGGCAUUCUUCCCAGUUUCUAAUGUUCUUUCCCACAACAGAUCGUAAUAAAGUCCCUAAGAUCCGAUUAACUACUUCGGUUUGGCCAUCAGUUUGGGGGUGACAUGUAGUGGAAUAAAGUAAUUUAGUACCAAGCUUACCCCACAUUACCUUCCAAAAGUGGCUAAGGAAUUUGACAUCUCUGUCAGAAACAAUUGUUUUAGGGAUGCCAUGAAGUCUUACCACCUCUUUAAAGAAUAAGUCUGCCACAUGUGUAGCAUCAUCUGUUUUGUGACAAGAAAUAAAAUGUGCCAUCUUUGAAAACCUGUCAACAACAACAAAUAUACUAUCUCUUCCUUUCUUAUGUCGAGGCAAACCUAAAAUAAAAUCCAUGGAUAAAUCUACCCAAGGUGAAGUAGGAACCGGUAAAGGAGUGUAAAUGCCAUGAGGCAUUACCUUAGAUUUUGCUUGUUUGCAUGUAAUGCACUUGGAACAUACCUUUUCGACAUUCUUUUUCAUAUGUAGCCAAUGGAAGUGUUCUUGCAAGAUGUCUAGUGUUUUGGCCACUCCAAAAUGUCCCAUCAAACCCCCACAAUGGGCCUCAUGAAUCAAUAAGUCUCUCAUGGAACACUUUGGUAUGCAUAACCUGUUUAUACGAAAAAGAAAGCCAUCUACAAGAUAAAAUUUUUCAAAAGUAGUAUGUUCAUAAUUCUUAUAGAUAUUGCUGAAAUCAGCAUCAUCAUCAUAUAGCUCCUUAAUAUGUUCAAACCCUAAGACUUUAGCAUUCAAUGUAGUUAUUAAAGUAUAUCGUCUAGACAAAGCAUCUGCAACUACAUUAUCUUUACCUGUUUUAUAUUGUAUCAUAUAAGGGAAUGUUUCAAUGAAUUCUACCCAUCGGGCAUGUCUUUUACUCAACUUACCUUGUCCCUUUAAGGGAUUCAUGAUCUGUGUGUAUGACAAACUCAUUAGGCAGCAAAUAAUGUUGCCAUACUUGAAGUGCACGAACCAAUGCCAAGAGUUCUUUGUCAUAUGUUGAGUAGUUUAACUGUGCACCAUUCAAUUUCUCACUAAAAUAAGCAAUAGGUUGCUUAUCUUGCAUUAAGACGGCGCCAAUUCCAAUUCCUAAAGCAUCACACUCAAGCUCAAAAGUAUUAUAAAAAUUAGGUAAUUUGAGAAGAGGAGCAGAACAUAACUUAUCUUUCAGGGUCUGAAAAGACUUUUCUUGGGUUUCACCCCAUUUGAAACCCACUGAUUUCUUUAUAACCUCUGCCAAUGGGGCAGCAAUAGUAGAGAAAUCUUUCACAAAUCGUCUAUAAAAGCUAGCUAAACCAUGGAAAGAUCUCACCUCAGUUACCGAUUUAGGAGUCGGCCACUCCUUAAUUGCCUUAACUUUGUCCUCGUCGACAUGAAUACCUUGAGCACUAACUAUGAAACCUAAGAAUAUUAGUUUAUCACAACAGAAUGUGCAUUUAUCAAGGUUGGCAAAUAAUCAGCUCGUAGAAUAUCGAAAACGGUUUUAACGUGGAAAACAUGAUCAUCUAAUGUCUUGGAGUAAAUUAAGAUAUCAUCAAAAUAAACCACUACAAAUUUACUCAAGUGAAGCCUUAAAACAUGAUUCAUUAAUCUCAUAAAUGUACUAGGUGCAUUAGUAAGGCCAAAAAGCAUAACUAACCAUUCAUACAAUCCAAAUUUUGUUUUAAAGGUUGUUUUCCAUUCAUCCCCUUCCCUCAUUCGAAUUUGAUGAUAACCGCUUUUUAAAUCAAUUUUAGUAAAUAUGACUGAACCAUGUAAUUCAUCAAGCAUAUCAUCAAGUCUAUAAAUUGGGUGUCGAUACUUUACCGUUAUUUUGUUGAUUGGGCGGCAAUCAACACACAUUUGAUACGUACCAUCUUUUUUUGGUACCAAUAAGACAGGAACGGCACAAGGGCUUAGGCUCUCACGAAUGUACCCUUUGUCUAGUAAUUCCUCAACUUGCCUUUGCAAUUCCUUUGUCUCCUCGGGAUUGCAUCUAUAGGCUGGUCGAUUUGGUAUUGAAGCUCCAGGUACUAAGUUAAUUUGAUGCUCUAUCCCUCUUAAAGGUGGUAACCCUUUAGGGGCUUCACUAAAAACAUCCUCAUAAUCAUGCAAAAGAGACUGAAACACGCUAGGCAAAUUUUCAUUAAUGUUAGAUAAAGAUAAAUAAUUUUGCCUAAACCUCACAAGGAUACAAGGCUGUUUUUUGAGUAGGGUUCUCCUCACAUCUUUUUUUGUUGCCAAAAAAUUUUUUUCGCUCAUUUUACCACUUGAGGAUUCGCUCACCUUUGGGCUUUUUAAAUUUUGACUUUUUCCACUACUAGCCUCUUUUCUCUCUGUCUUUUGUACUUGCUCUUUCUCCCUUACCCCCUCACAAAAUUUCAUCAUCUUCAAUUGAUCUUUAUAUACAUCAGUAGGAUUUAAAGGAGCAAAAGUGAAUUUUCUACCUUUAAACAUAAGGGAGUAUCGAUUAAGUUUACCUUGGUGUGUAACAUCGCGAUCAAAUUGCCAAGGUCGUCCAAGGAGCAAGUGUGCCGCAUGCAUUGGGACCACAUCACACCAUACUUCAUCCUUAUAAUUACCGAGCUUAAAAGUGACCAAGGACUAUUUCGUAACUUUAACUUCGAAGCAUUCUGAUACGAUCUCGGUUUAGUAGUUGAACCCGAGUCAUUUAUUUCCCGAUCGUAAACGAAGAAGUAUAUUAGACAAGAAGAAGAAAGAAUAUAUUUGUGUUCAAAGAAGUAAAAUAAGUUCGAUCAAAAUAAGAUGUGGAUUUGGCUUAAGUCAAAUGGUAUGAUUAGUAUGGUCGAAUUCGGUUUAGGAAUAAACAAGAAAUGGUAUUUGGUUUAGGUACGAUUUGGUAUUUAGGAAUUGGUACGAAAUGGUAUGGAAGUUGGUACGAAAUGGUAUGGUAUUUGGUACGAAUUAGUAAUGGUUCAAAAAGGUCAAGAGUGAACCAACACUAAAGAAGAGUGCUGACCCGAAACUUAUAGGACCAAAUUGAGUUGGAAAUGAUGGAUAAGGACCUUGACCCAAUACUUAGUAAAGUAUGAACCAAAGGUAUCAAAGGUGAACGCCACACUCGGGUUUAGGGAGUGAUAAGUUCGAAAGAAAGACUCGGAAAGACGCCACUAGAAGCUAGAUAAGUCUUACGGGUCUCGAACGAAAUUUGAGAGAAAAUGCCUCACAAAUUUGGCAGCAAUUCGUUACUUAAAAUGUCAAAAGUCUUUUACAAAUUAAAUUUAACAACUAUUUAUAGACAAAGACUAGGCUAGCCGAAUAGUCAUAUGAAUGCUUAAGAAUUAAGCAAAUGAAUUCCUUUAAUGAGCUUAACNNNNNNNNNNNNNNNNNNNNNNNNNNNNNNNNNNNNNNNNNNNNNNNNNNNNNNNNNNNNNNNNNNNNNNNNNNNNNNNNNNNNNNNNNNNNNNNNNNNNUUUUAGAAUGAGCAAUGAACUUAGAAGCUUGGAAAGAUGCAUGGCAGCAGCUAGGUUCGGUUAAUGGACUUAAAACAAGCUCAAUUAAUUGGCAACUUUUGUUGAAAAGUGAUCAGCAAUUAAAGGAGGUAAUGAGCAGCCAACAAGGUGUGAAAACUCAGCUUUGAAGAGUCAUGAAAUGUGAACAUAUAGAACCGAACAGCCAAGAUGAAUCCAGCAAUGUGAAAAUAAUUUAAAAGUCGGCUGAAUGGUCAACUUGGGAGUAGGAAACAAUAGCUUCUUUGGCCGAAUGGUCACCUAGGAUACUUCAAACAGCAGCCAAAUUUAAUUCCCCAAACAUGCAUGUGCCGUCCCCUUACAUGUAUCUUCUUUUAAUUCAUUCAUGCACCAAGGACGUCCAAAUGUGAUGUACCUACAGCAAAAUUUAUUCAAUAAAUCAAAUACAUUUUUAAACACAUUAAUUUGGCAGCAAAUGACACAAAAAUUAUGCACAUUAAAUUCGGCCACCUUAGGACAUAAUGAAAACAUGUAAUAAAAUUGACACAUUAAAACAUGCAUAAAAAAAACAUAUUAAUGAGCUGUAGAAAUUAAGACAAAUUAAUAACAUAUAAUUAUAACUCAAUUAACAUGCAUAAUUAAAUUUGUCCAGAUUUUAAACCAAAUAAAUAAUGAAUAUUAAUUGAGCUGUAAUAAUCUAAUUAAAUGACUCAAAUAAUUAUUUCAGCUACUAUAAUAAGGUCUUAAUGAAAUUGAGCUAGUUCGAGCUCAUUGAGCUUGAAAGGAGCUGGAAACGAGCUAAAUGAAGCUCCACAAAAUAAGAUUGAGCUACGUCCAGCUUGCAAACACAACGAGCCUCGUUUGUAGGCUGAAGCAAUGGCCGUUCCCAAGGGCGGGUCGUAUCACAUUCAUUAAGCCACUGAAGGUGAUAUGGCUUAGGGUGUUUGGUACAAGGCAACUUUAAAGAAUCCACCAAAUAGCUACUCACUACAUUCGAGCAACUCCCAC
rnacentral:lncRNA from 1 species